rnacentral:lncRNA from 1 species
GAAUCUGGAUGCAGGAGCCUAGCCAAACCAAAAUCAGCAACAAAUGCCUCUAGGUUUGAAUUAAGUAGAAUGUUAUUGCUGGAUAUGUCGCGGUGAACAAUUGGUGGCUUGCAGUCAUAAUGCAAGUAAGACAAAGCAUGAGCCAUACUCUUUACAAUGUCCACUCUCUUAGUCCAAUCCAGCUCAACAACUUCAACGUCAUUGCGUAACACACAGAACAAGCUUCCCCACUCCAUGUACUCAUAGAUCAAAAACAUGCACUGGUUAUGCAAACAAAAACCAUAAAGCUUCACUAUAUUACGAUGCCGUAUUUGGGAUAGUAGACGAGCUUCAGUUUGAAAACUUUUAAGGAAGGCUAGCUCCUCUGUCUCUGAACGGUGAAGUUUCUUCAAAGCGACUACUCUUCCACUAGACAAUUGUGCUCUGUAAACGCUGCCAUAACCUCCGGUUCCAAUGCAAUAUUUGAUGUGGAAAUCCUCUGUCGCUUGAAUCAUCUCUUCAAAUGUAAUUCUACCAUCAUAAUCCCAUAUUGAGAACUCAUCAGCGCACUUUUUCAUUUCUCGGGUAUUAGGAUUAAUUUUCUCAUCCAUUCGUCUGUGGACAAACAAGAUUCCAAAAAUUAAGGCAAGGAAUGCGACCAUGGGAAGAAUAAUUGUAACCAAGGGAGUAACGAUCUUUUGGUUUUUUCCUUUGUUGCCUUUAAAAUGUUGUGUUUGGGGUGGUGGUGCAUUUUCUGAAAUAACUGGGUUUUCUACCUCUAGAUUGUUUUCUGACCAUUUUAAUCCGGGCACUCUAAAGACAGAUUCGGGGAUAACGCCGGAGAGGUUAUUCUUGGAAACGUCCACUUCAGAAACGUUUGGAAUUUUUCCGAGUUGAGAAGGUAUGGUGCCAUUUAUGAAGUUAUGGCUUAAAUCAAGUUGUCUCAGAUGUAUAAGGUUGCCUAUCUCCGAUGGAAUGCUUCCGCUUAAACUGUUGUGGUUUACUGCCAAGUUCUGUAACUGCGAGCAAUUCAUGAGUUCUGGAGGAAUGGAGCUGUUGAGCUGAUUAUAACCAAGAUUCAAAGAGGUGAGGUUGGUUAAAUAACCAAUUGUUGGAGGAAUGGGUCCAAUUAGGUUGUUCCUAUCAAGAGACAGAGAAUCAAGAUACUUCAGAUUUCCGACUUCUCGAGGCAGCAGACCACUUAGUUGGUUUGAAGAAAGAUCUAGAGAUGUUAAGUAGGUUAAAUUUCCUAUGGUCGGUGGAAUUGGACCAUCAAGUCUGUUGUGAGACAAGCGCAACUCAUCCAACAAGUUUAAAAAACCAAUGGUCGAAGGAAUAGGUCCAGUGAGAUUGUUCCUAUUUAGAAGCAGAGAAUCAAGAUUCUUCAGAUUUCCAACUUCUUUAGGCAGUGGACCAACAAGAUUGUUGUAAGCCAAGUACAAAGUACUUAACUGAUUUAAAUGAUAAAGCGUUGAAGGAAUAGGCCCAGUUAGAUUGUUAUUAUCCAGAAACAGAGACACAAGAUUCUUCAGAUUUCCAACUUCUUGAGGCAGCCGACCACUAAGUUGGUUUAAAGAAAGGUCCAAAUGUGUCAAGUUAGUUAAAUUACCUAUGGUCGAUGGAAUUAGACCAUCCAGUUUGUUGCCCUGCAACCUCAGGUCAUAAAGAUCCUUCAAAUUCCCAAAUUCUAAUGGGAUAGAACCAUUGAGAAUGUUAUAAGACAGAUUCAGUUCGAGAAGAUCCCUCAAACUCCCGAUCUCUGAAGGGAUAGUACCUAUCAUAUAUAUAUAUAUACAUGCAAAUGAUUAAUUAAUGAUAAAUGAGCAAUAUUAUCCAGUACCGAUAGGAAAUUAUUGUAUAUGCAAUGAAAUUAUAUAUAAUAGUUACCUGUAAGACGGUUAUAGGACAGGUCAAGCACUUUGAGUCUUGAAAGAGCACCAAUUUCUGAUGGUAUCCUUCCGGAGAGAAAACGAGUGCCCCAAAUUCUGAAAGUUACGAGGUUGGGAAAGCAAGUGAAGUUGAGUUGGCUAAGCUCUGCUGCGUUGCCAUUAUUAUCCAUCUCGUCAGAACUUAUCUCAACUAUGCUUCCUGCUGAAUUGCAAGUGAUUCCCAUCCACUUGCAAUGAUCUGAAGUAUAGUUGGCCGUCGCCCGACUGCUAUUCCACCAGCCUGAAUUAAGUAAAGCUUCCCUUUCUAACUGUAAGGCUGACGAUGCAUCAGAUGCUGUUAGAACUGCAUUAUCAGUUAUAACAGGAACAAUAAUACUGCUUAUAAAAGUUAUAAUGACCACCAAUUUUGAAAUGGAGAAAUCCGGUGCCAUUUUUGUAAGUUUUUGGUUGAUUAGAUUCAGCGGGUGCAUGCCUGCUUUUAUAACUAAACAUUAAGUUUGACAGCAACACUCAAUCAUUUUUAGCCCGCGUUGAGCUUUCUCCCUCAUCGUCAAAAUUGGCAUGCGCGUUAUCAAACACAAGAGUCAGUUGAGUUAAUGUCUUUUUAGGCCACUAAUUCCUAUUUUUAAUUAAUUUCGCAAAGUAAAGGCUACAUGUGAUUCAUAUUCUAGCAACUUUCUAUUUCUUUCUUUACUUUUUAGUCCACUUUCCAUUCUCCCAAUUACUUUUCUAGAAUGGAGGAUUAUAUAUAUUCUAGUAACUUUCUUUUUCUUUCUUUUCCUUUUGGUACAUACUUUAUGCCCGAAUUUAGACCCCGACCGAAUUCCACCAAAUUGUUUUUGUUCUUUUCUUUUUUGUAAUUUUUUUUUUCGCCUUUAUAUGGGUUCAUUUGGGAUUUAUGUUCGGGGCGUAUAGGCAUAGCAUUGCUCUUUACUUUGUGUCCACUUUCCUUCAUCAUCAAAAUAUUCGAUAAUGUCGGGAAAUAUUAAAAUUUGUUCUUAAUUAACAAAGAAUUAAGCCGACUACCAUAUUUCGCCAAAAGUCAAAGGAAAAAUUUCCAUUCUCCGGUACAACAUAUUCUAUAAUUUAUAGUAAUUGUCUAUUUGGUAAUGCGAACGGUUAUUUACACUAAGCAAUAUUUUGAAUAUUUUGAGACCCAAGUCAUACUCAAUGCUAAAAAUAAAAUAAAUAUUUUUUCUUCGUACAGAAAAAAAUAUAAAUUACCAACAUGUGAUAGGAGUUCAUCGAUACUUAUAUCAUUAUCAUCAUCCAAACCUAUAUUUGCAUCGUCAAUUUGUCGAUCUAGAAAUGAGACUAGUACCUAUGUGCUUAAUAAAAAAAAUUAUUAAAAAAAUAUUACCUUUCAAGUAAUACAUUAUUUUGUUGUGUAUUAUAUACUAAAUCAAUGAUGUAUUCUAAAUAGAUGUUCACCCUCAAGUGGUAUCAGAUAUCUACAUCUAAAAUGAUGUGUCUUAAAAUUUAAUGAGAAAAAUAUACAUAUAUUCUAAGGUUUGGGGAAAUAACAUGCAUGAACCUUACCAUAUAAUAUAACUUUAUGAUCGCAUUUUGGUGGAUAUUAUGUAAUUCAUUAACUUUGUUGUCUAUUAUAUACUAUAUUAAUGAUGAAUUCUAACUAGAUGAAAUUCACUCCCAAGUAGUGUCUGAUAUGGCCAUAUCCAUGUGUCCUAUAACUUUACUGAAACAAAUUUUGGGGAAUUUAAGAAUCUUUUUCUUUUUAUAUUUAGGAAAAUUAAUAAUUCGAAGUAGCUGCCAUUUUAGUUGUGUUUAAAAUUGAUUGUCUUAAAAAUUUGGAAAAUAUAUGGGAAAAUUUUCAAAAUGAUAAAAGGGAUAAUGUAGACUGACACGUUUAAACAUGUGAACUCAUUAGUCGCCAAUUAUUUGAAACGCACGGCCAGGGGAUGCCGGGUGAUUAAACACGUGAGUAGAAAACUUUUCAGGUCACUGGCUUUUUCUGAGCCGACCACAAAUUAAAGCAAAAUUGGAGUCAAGGUCUUGCAGACAAGGAAAAGAAGACGUGUGUGUACUGCGAGUUCACAUUUGAGGGUUGACUGACAAAUUUGUCCCUUGUCAAGCUCGUCAAAGAAGCACCUAUAAAUUUCACUUGAGAAUAUAUAUAUUUUAUAUUUAUCCAAAGUGAAGGAUUUAAUUAAACAAAAUUCAGUCUCACGAAUGUUAAUAUACCGAAAAAAGUUAUACAAAAACCACUAUCAAAAUUUUGGAUAAUCUUGAGAAAUUUUAAAAUUUGUUCUUAAUUAACAAAGAAUUACGCCCAAUACCAUAUUUCGCCAAAUCUCAAAGGAAAAUUUUCCACUUUUCCGGUACAAUAUUUUCUAUAAUUUACGGUAAUUAUUAAUUGGUAAUGCCAAUGGUUUUUUACACUAAACAAUAUUUUCAGACCCAAGUCAUACACAAUGCUAAAACCAAAGUAAAUAUUUUUUUUUCAUUUGUACAGAAAAAAUAUAAAUUACCAAGUUCAUCAAUACUUAUUUCAUUUAUCAUCAUCCGAAUCUAUAUUUGCAUCAUCAAUUGUCGAUCUACAAAAGAGAAAUCAAAGAUGUUAAAAAUAUUUCUAAUAAUAAGAUAAAAAUUAAAUAUAAAGACUAGUACCUAGGUGUUUGAAUUAAAAAUAAUAAUCAUUAAAAAAUAUUACCUUUCAAGUAGUACAUAAUUUUAUUGUGUAUUAUAUACUACGUUAAUGAUGUAUUCCAAAUAGAUGAAACUCAUUCCCAAGUUGUGUCCAAUAUGGUGAUAUCCUUGUGUCUUACAAUUCCCAUAGGAUGCUAGAGCCAUAUGGAAGCAUAUAGAAGAUUGAUUGGUCGUGAUUAUUAACACUUUUGAAGGUUUAUUCUAUAUACAUGAUCAGCUGAACUUGUUCUCUUUAAUUUUCAUAAAUGCAUUGACACAGUUUUUACUUUUUGAUCAUUGGAUAUCCCUGACUUUAAGUUCAUCGAAUUCUAAACUAGGGAAUGCUGUUUGACUUACAACCAUAAUAGUUAGGAAGGUUAUAACUAGAUGGUCACAAUGGUUUUCAAUCACCGAUUGCUUUCUUACGGAACAGAAAAGAAAGGAAAGAUCAUAACUUCUCCCUCACCACCUUGUGUUAAUUGUCACUACUUAUUGUGGUUUAUUUUAUUUUUCAAAUCACAUUUGGUGACGGUUUCCAAUUCCACCAGCCGCAGAAAUCAAGUUGUAAUUCUAUUGUUUACAGAAUUUCAUUUCUGUUUACCAUUCAUCCUUGUAAUAUCAUAACAAGCAAUGUCAUACUUUUUACUUUUCAUAUUCUCAAAGUUCUUCAAAUCUUUUUAUUUCAAAUUGAAUGAAACAUUAAUUCUCAUUGGAUAAUCAACAUAUACUUGUCUUAGAGUCCUCAGGUGGACAACUUUUGGGGUUUUGGGUCCUCAUUUGUUGUACUAGUUGGUUCUUGAGGUAAAUAAAUCCAGGAUUCCUGAUAUUGAACAUUCAAUUUUCAUGUCUGAAACUUCCAAUAUCCAAAUUCACUCAUGCAAUACAACUACUCUAUUUUAAAUCAACUAGAUGGUUUCAGAUACAGAUUUUGUAUUUCCAACAUAAAAAAUCAUGCAAGCUUUUGAUACCCAAAAGACCAUGAUUGGAUUUUUUCUUCUCCCCUCCUCUCCCCUGUAUUGUCAAGUCAUCCAUAAAUUUUCUGCAAUGUCAGACUGUGCAAAAGGUAAUUUUAUCAGUGUAAGUGCUUGCAUUGUUCAUUUCUUCAGACAGCCAUUUACUGUGUCCAACAAUUCAUGCUGUGUUCACUAAUUAAAGCAACUACGGGUCAAGGUCAUUUUAAGUCGGGAAAAUGACUAGGGUGGUGUGAAUUCACACAUGAAACUUAAUUGGCAUAUUUGUCACUCGGCAAGCUCAAUGGACCCCUUUCAAAUUCACUUUAGAAUCUUUAUUUAUUCUUUAACCAAAGAUAAGGAUUUAAAUACAAAAAAUUCAGCCUCACGAAAGUUAUACAAAAAGCUAUUAAUGAAAUACAUUCAAGAUUAACAAUCACAUUGAUCAAUCAAAUACAUGCAUUGUUUCAUAAGUUCUGAUAUGGAAAUUUCUUCAACAACAGGUUUUCCCAAUGGUGAUUUCCCUGUGAGAAAUUCUUGAGAUACGCGUUGCAUGGUAGGUCGAGACUUGGGUUUUGACUGCAAGCAUGCAAAUGCAACUAUUGAAACAAGAAUAAUAACCUGAACAACCUUUUGAUCAAGUGGAGAUGGCAGACGUUGGUCUAAAAUAUCUAUCAACCUAAUCUUUCGUUCAGAUGAUGACGAUAAAGAUGAAAGAAGAUCUCCUGGAUGACUUCCCAUUAAUACUUCUAGUGCCACCACUCCAAAGCUAUAAACAUCACAUUUCUCUGUCACAGCCAUGGUGUAUGCAAGUUCUACAACAAAAUAGAACCCAUUGUAGAAUUUCUUUGCACAAGCAAAAAACAAAAUAUAUAUAUAUUUGAUUCACUGUUUCUGGAAGCUUCUGCAGCAAGAUAUUUAAGAGAUAUCUAAUUGAUUUUUAAAUACAUUCAAUGUGUAAACAUGAGUAAGAAGCAUGAAAAGAAUAGCUAAAGUUUACCUGGAGCAAUAUAUCCAUAUGUCCCCACCACUAGAGUUCUGUUGGAGGAAUCUGGAUGCAGGAGCCUAGCCAAACCAAAAUCAGCAACAAAUGCCUCUAGGUUUGAGUUAAGUAGAAUGUUAUUGCUGGAUAUGUCGCGGUGAACAAUUGAUGGCUUGCAGUCAUAAUGCAGGUAAGACAAAGCAUGAGCCAUACUCUUUACAAUGUUCACUCUCUUUGUCCAAUCCAGCUCAACAGCUUCAACGUCAUUGCGUAACACACAGAACAAGCUUCCCCGCUCCAUGUACUCAUAGAUCAAAAACAUGCACUUGUUGUGCAAACAAAAACCAUAAAGCUUCACUAUAUUACGAUGCCGUAUUUGGGAGAGUAGACGAGCUUCAGUUUGGAAACUUUCCAGGAAAGCUGGCUCCUCUGUCUCCGAACGGUGAAGUUUCUUCAAAGCGACUACUCUUCCACUGGACAAUUGUGCUCUGUAAACACUGCCAUAACCUCCGGUUCCAAUGCAAUAUUUGAUGUGGAAAUCCUCUGUCGCUUGAAUCAUCUCUUCAAAUGUAAUUCUACCAUCAUAAUUCCAUAUGGAGAACUCAUUAGCCCCCUCGGUCAUUUCUCGGGUAUUAGGAUUAAAUUUCUUAUCCUUUCGUCUAUGGACAAACAAGAUACCAAAAAUUAAGAUUGCGAAAAUAAAUGCCACCAUAGCGAGAAUGAUUGUGACCAAGCGAGUGACGAUCUUUUGCUGCUUCCCUUUGUUGCCCUUAAACUGUUUUGCUUGGGGUGGCGGUGCAUUUUCUGAACCAGUUGAGUUUUCUAACUCUAGAUUAUUUUCUGACACUAUCAAUUUGGGAAUUCUUCUGACAGAUGCAGGGAUAACGCCGGAGAGGUUAUUCUUGGAAAGAUCCACGGCAGAAAUGUUUGGAAUUUUUCCGAGUUGUGAAGGUAUCGUGCCAUUUAUGAAGUUACGGCUUAAAUCAAGUUGUCUCAAAAAUAUAAGGUUGCCUAUCUCCGAUGGAAUGCUUCCGCUUAAACUGUUGUGGCUUAAUACCAAGUUCAGUAACUGCGAGCAAUUCAUGAGUUCUGGAGGAAUGGAGCUGCUGAGCUGAUUAUAACCAAGAUUUAAAGAGGUGAGGUUGGUUAAAUAACCAAUUGUUGGAGGAAUGGGUCCAAUUAGAUUGUUCCCGUCAAGGGACAGAGAAUCAAGAUACUUCAGAUUUCCAACUUCCCGAGGCAGCAGACCACUAAGUUGGUUUGAAGAAAGAUCCAGAGAUGUUAAUUUGGUUAAAUUUCCUAUGGUCGGUAGAAUUGGACCAUUAAGUCUGUUGUGAGACAAGUCCAACUCAUCCAACAAGUUUAAAUAACCAAUGGUCGAAGGAAUAGAUCCAGUGAGAUUGUUCCUAUUCAGAAGCAAACGAUCAAGAUUCUUCAGAUUUCCAACUUCUUUAGACAGUGGACCAACAAGAUUGUUGUAAGCCAAGUACAAAAUGCUUAACUGAUUUAAAUGAUAAAGUGUUGAAGGAAUAGGCCCAGUUAGAUGGUUAUUAUCCAGAAACAGAGCGUCAAGAUUCUUCAGAUUUCCAACUUCUUGAGGCAGCCGACCACUAAGUUGGUUUAAAGAAAGGUCCAAAUGUGUCAAGUUAGUUAAAUUACCUAUGCUCGAUGGAAUUAGACCAUCCAGUUUGUUACCCUGCAACCUCAGUUCAUCAAGAUCCUUCAAAUUCCCAAAUUCUAAUGGGAUAGAACCAUUGAGAAUGUUAUUAGACAGAUCCAGUUUGAGAAGAUUCCUCAAACUCCCAAUCUCCGCGGGGAUAGUACCUAUCGUGUGUAUAUAUAUGCAUAUGAUUAAUUAACGAUAAAUAAGCAAUAAUAUCCGGUACAGAUAGGAAAUUAUUGUAUAUGCAAUGAAAUUAUAUAUAAUGGUUACCUGUAAGACUGUUAUCGGACAGGAAAAGCUCCUCGAGUUUUGAAAGAGCACCAAUUUCUGAUGGCAUCCUUCCUGAAGAAAAAAAGGAAAACAAAAAUAAUGUGUAUGAUUAAUUAAUGAUAAAUGAGCAAUAUUAUCCAGCACCGAUAGGAAAUUAUUGUAUAUGCAAUGAAAUUAUAUAUAAUGGUUACCUGUAAGACUGUUAUAGGACAAGUGAAGCUCCUCGAGUUUUGAAAGAGCACCAAUUUCUGAUGGCAUCCUUCCUAACGAAAAAAAGGAAAAAAAAUAAUGUGUAUGAUUAAUUAAGGAUAAAUGAGCAAUAUUAUCCAGUACGGCUAGGAAAAUAAUGUGUAUGCAUUGAAAUUAUAUAUAAUAGUUACCUGUAAGACGGUUAGAGGACAGGUCAAGCACUUUGAGUCUUGAAAGAGCACCAAUUUCUGAUGGUAUCCUUCCGGAAAGAAGAGUGCCCCGAAUGCUGAAAGUUACGAGGUUGGGAAAGCAAGUGAAGUUGAGUUGGCUAAGCUCUGCUCCGGUGAAAUUAUUAUCCAUCUCGUCAGAACUUAUCCAGACUACGCUUCCUGCUGAAUUGCAAGUGAUUCCUAUCCACUUGCAAUGAUCUGAAGUAUAGUUGGCCGUCGCCCGACUGCUAUUCCACCAGCCUGAAUUAAGUAAAGCUUCCCUUUCUAACUGUAUGGCUGACGAUGCAGCAGAUGCUGUUACAACUGCAUUAUCAGUUAUAACAGGAACAAUAAUACUGCUUAUAAAAGUUAUAAUGACCACCAAUUUUGAAAUGGAGGAAUCCGGUGCCAUUUUUAUAAGUUUUUGGUUGAUUAGAUUCAGCCAGUGCGUGCCUGCUUUUAUAACCAAACAUUAAGUUUGACGGCAACACUCAAUCAUUUUUAGCCCGCGUUGAGCUUUCUCCCUCAUCGUCAAAAUUGGCAUACGCGUUAUCAAACACGAGGGUCAGUUGAGUUAAUGUCUUUUUAGGCCACUAAUUCCUAUUUCUAAUUAAUUUCGCAAAUUAAAGGCUACAUGUGAUUCAUUAAUUUUGUUGGCAUACGCGUUCUAAAUAGAUGAAAGUCACUCCCAAGUAGUGUAUGAUAUGCCGAUAUCCAUGUGUCUUAUAACUUUACUGAAAUAAAUUUUGGGGAGUUUAAGUAUCUUUUUCUUUUAUAUUGAUGAGAAUUAAUAAUUCAAACUAGCUGUCAUUUUAGUUGUGUUUAAAAUUAAUUGUCUUAAGAAUUUGGAAAAUAUAUGGAAUGCCGUGUGAUUAAACACGUGAGUAGAAAACUUUUCAGGUCACUGGCUUUUUCUGAGGCGACCAUAAAUUAAAGCAAAAUUGGAGUCAAGGUCUUGUAGACAAGGAAAAGAAGACGCGUGUACUGCGAGUUCACAUUUGAGGGUUGAUUGACAUAUUUGUCCCUUAUCAUGCUCGUCAAAGAAACACCUAUAAAUUUCACUUGAGAAUAUAUAUAUUUUAUAUUUAUCCAAAGUAAAGGAUUUAAUUCAACAAAAUUCAGUCUCACGAAUAUUAAUAUACGGAAAAAAGUUAUACAAAAACCACUAUCAAAAUUUUGGAUAAUCUUGAGAAAUUUUAAAAUUUUUUCUUAAUUAACAAAGAAUUAUUCCCAAUACCAUAUUUCGCCAAAUCUCAAAAGGAAAAUUUUCCACUUUUUCAGUACAAUAUUUUCUAUAAUUUACGGUAAUUAUCUAUUGAUAAUGCCAAUGGUUUUUUACACUAAACAAUAUUUUCAGACCCAAGUCAUACACAAUGCUAAAACGAAAGUAAAUAUUUUUUUUUCAUUCGUACGGAAAAAUAUAAAAUACCAAGUUUAUCAAUACUUAUAUCAUUUAUCAUCAUCCGAAGCUGUAUUUGCAUCAUCAAUUGUCAAUCUACAAAAGAGAAAUCAAAGAUGUUAAAAAUAUUUCUAAUAAUAAAAUAAAUAAUUAAAUAUAAAGACUAGAAUCUAGGUGUUUGAAUUAAAAAAAAAUUAUUAAAAAAAAUUACCUUUCAAGUAGUACAUAAUUUUGUUGUAUAUUAUAUACUAAUACUACGUUAAUGAUGUAUUCUAAAUAGUUGAAGUUCACUCUCAAAUGGUGUUUGAUAUCUACAUCUGAAUGACACGCAUGAACCUUGCCUUGCAGCGUAACCUCGUGAUUGCAUUUUGCUGGAUAUUUUAAAAUAAAUUAAUUUCGUUGUCUAUUAUAUACUAUAUUAAUAGAUGAAACUCACUCUCAAGUAGUGUCCAAUACGGCGAUGUCCAUGUGCCUUACAAUUUCACUGAAACAAAUUUUGGGGAGGUUUUAAGUUCCUUUUUCGUUUAUAUUUAUAUUUAUGAGAAUUAAUAAUUCUAACCAGCUGUCAUUUUAGUUGUGUUUAAAAUUUGAUGUUUCAAAAAUCUGGAAAAAUAGAUGGAAGAAUUUUCAGAUGAUACCCCCCGUCAAAGGGAUAAUGUAGACUGACACGUUUAAACAUUUGAACUCGUCAGUCGCCAAUUACCUGAAACCCACGGCCACGUCUAUUAGACAAUUUAAAAAAAAAAAAUUGUGUACUGCAGAUACUAAUGAAAUUCAAAGGACCACCAAUUAAUUCAGGUUAGAAAAGUUUUUUUUUUUUUUAAAUUACAAGACAAGGAUUUAAUCAAACAAAAUUCAGUCUGAAAAAAAUUAUACAAACUACUAUCAGCAAAAUACAUUCAAGAUUAACAAUCACAUUAAUUUUAAUCUAGCAUCUUUUUCUUUUUCCUCCUUUCUCUUUUUCCGUCUUUACUUUUUAGUCCGCUUUCCUUUCUCCAAAUUACUUUUCUUCAUUUUCCACAGAACACAUAAAAAAAUUGGACCAUCUUGAGAGUCCAGAAAUAUUAAAUUUUUGGAAUCCACAAAAAAUUAAAUAUUUUUGUCAUAAUGUUGUAGACUUUUGUUCUUCUAUCAUUUUCACAAAUUUAUUGAGAAGGCCAAGUACCACCAUAUUUAAUCAAAAGUCAUAAAGAAUUUUUUUAUAUAUUUUAUUAUGCAAAAAGGACUACUGUUCCUAAAAAUUUAACCGAGUGACUUUUUAAUUAUUUUAUUUAACUGAUUAUCCAAGUUCGAAUAUUUCUAGAUGACUCUUAACCCUAAAACCAGAUGUGGGCUAUUCACAUCCCCCAUCUGUCCAUUGAAAAGGGCAAAUUUUGUUUUCAACUAAGCAGCCCCUUUGUGGCUUGUAUCGAUGUACGUUUAACAUUGUCGCUCUAAUUUGAUCCUAAUAUGCGCUAAUGCAAAACGAUAUGCAUUGGAACUCUGUGAACUUACAGUAACAAUUUGUUUAAACUUAUGCAGACUACUUAACUAACCAGUCAAAUAGAGUGUCAAAUAAAAUUUUAAUAUUUGGUUAAGAGACCAAAAGAGUUCAUAAAUAUUGUUUUUUUUUUACCAAUUAAGAAGAUUAAAAUGAAUGGCAUAUUUUGCACAGAAUUAAUAUGCUUAUUCAAAUUUAACAAUAUAGUGGGCUUUUUCAAAUUUCAAAUGUGUAGAUGGGGCUAAAUGCCUAAACCACAACUUUCCUUAUUAUUUUCAUUGAAUCAUCAGAGCUCUGAACAAAUUUGAAAAUAUUUUCUGAGUCUCUUCUUCAUCAUUUAGUUUAUACUUCAACUGACCAUUAGAAGCCAUUCAGUUUCUGUACGAUCAUGCAAAAGGGUUAGAAAGUAAUUACAAUCAAUAUUUGUGUACUUCAGAAUUUGAACCUUAAUGAGCAAUUAACCAAGAGUUGUUAAUUUCUCUUCCUUUCCAAAAUUCUGUUAGAAUUGUCAAUUGUUACGGCAUAUGGGUGUAAAGAUUUUCUGAUAAUAAAAGUUAAAAUUAUGGGGUGGGUUUUUAUAAGAAUUUUGGAGGGGUGUAAGAAGCCCCACUCUAGUCAUAAAUGAAGCCAUGACUUGGAGUAAUGGAAUACAGAGCCCAUUAACCCUAAAGGCCUUAAACUAACCCAAGAUGCUUUAAAGUGAUAAUUAAGAUGUGAGACAAGCUCGCUCUAUCACUAAAGCAUGUUUGGUUUAUUAUACGUUGUAAGCCCAUCAAUUUUUGAAGUUGUUUACUAUUGCAUUUCAUCUAAAACCUGUAUUUGGUUUAUUAUACGUUGUUUUCAAAGUCGUUGACAAUCAACGGGGCAAUACCGAAAUAGAUAGUCCUAGCCGCCUAGGCGCGCGCGCGCAAAAGAAAAAAAAAGGAUAAUGUAUUACAAAAUCACUGAUGCAUGGAAGAUCCUAGUUUUGUAGUGAGAGUAAAAGAAUUGAGCUUGAAACUAUUUUUUUGUUGAUAUUUUUAAUGAAACGCUUCGAAGAAAACAUAGAUGGAGGGAAGCAAAAUGGUUGAAGUAAGCAAGCUGUGUAGUGAGAACUGGAGGCACAUCAAGCAUGAAUAGAAUGUGUGUGUGUGUUAAUAAAGCGAGGAUUGAUUCAGGCUAGCAAAAGUAUUCUUCAUAGUCAUUGUCAGUGUAGUGUAGUAUGCCUUUAUUCUUAACUAGAUUUUAGUCCUUAUCUCCCCCAAGAUUCAACCGCAGGUGGCUAGUUAUAGAAAGUUAUUUAAAAAUCACUCAGACAAACUUCUAGUGAUAAUUGAACUUAAAUUUAACUUUAAUAUCUUAUUAGAAAAGUUCAAUACGGCUUUAAUAGAGUGGAAAACGUUUAUUUUCCCCCAGGAAAAAUGUAUAAUAAGUUCUUUUACAUAGACUCCAUAACCAAAUUAGACAAGUAAAUAAUCAAUUACGGAAUUAAGAGCUUGGUUUAACAAGGUCAGCAUGAAGAAACUACAAAUUUGAGGCUAAAAAUCUAGAAAUGGAGGCCAAAACAUAAGAUUUUCAAAGAAUGACCAGAUUUCAAUUAGAUCCCAGGGAACAUUAACCCAGUUUACUGCUUAUUGUAGACCUCUUUGUUUACAUGAAUUAAUGUUUAAUAGCCUUUAGGAUCUCAAGCCUGACCCUUACAACUACAUAUGAAUUCAUUUAAUUAACAAUCUGUACGUAUUAGCAGCUAGUGAAGUAGAAAAUGCCCGUGACUAGUGCUUUAGUUUCUUUAAAAUCCGGAGACAAAGAGUUGUUCUGAGUAUUUUAUAAUUUUUUUUUUUUCACAUGAGACACCAUUCAAGACAAUGUCCAUGUGGUGUGAAGGCCAAAAUCCCCCGUGAACCUGGCAAUUAUUGUCUUUUUUAGCAUUUUAAUAUAAUCAGUUUGUAUUUAAAUUACUAUUUGAUCGAUUAAAAUUUGAAUAAUUUUACAGCUACCCUAACACAGGAGUGUUUGAAAUAUUUGGUAAUCAAGUUAUACCAAGUGCAGCUCAAGUUCUUACAUUAAUCAAGUGAGCAGAAUUUCUGUGCAGAAGGGGCAUCUUUGGGAAUUAAACUGUACUGCAUGAGAUCGAAUUAAUUUUCGAACCAUACAUCAUUGGAAAGAUAUUUCUGUUAGCUUUCCAAUGAAUUUUACUAAUCUAAAUUUGGAGUUUUCUACAGUAAGUUAUGAUCAGUUAAGUGCAGACUGUUCAGUUUUGAGUCAAGAAGAAUAUUUCGGGACUUAGAUUUUUUUAAUGUUCUUUGUUGUGUUUUAAGCAUACCAAUGUUUUAUUAAUGUCUAGCUUUAAUGUUGGUCUUUAAAGUCAAGUUAUUUGAAGGGUUUCUUUGUAGUAAAUCUAUGCUUGGAGGAUUGUUCCAAGAAAGUUAUUUAAGCUUAUGUAGUUGUAACAAAAAGACAGAGAUUAAUUUUGGAAAUUGAAUGAACUUUGAGCUAUUAUCAAACUCUGUAUCUCUUUGGUGGAUUCCAUUGAGUGGUGAGUGUUUUAAGCUCUGUAUCCGUAGCUUAACAACUUUAGGUGGUGAAUAUUUUUCUGUAUCCUUUUGUUGUUUGCUGUGGUGGUGAGCUUGUGAUUUCUUGAGUGUGUGACGUUGUGCUUUCUCAUCUAUUGUGUCCGGUGUCAAAUUUGGUAUCAGAGCAUUGGGUUCUGAAAUUUAUGGCUCAACGACGUCAGCGUAAUGCAAGAGUUGCAGAGCCUCCUGUUCGUGAGAGGGACUUGGGUGAUAUAGAAAGGGAUGAUCUUAGAAGACAAGUAGAACAUCUUCAGCAACGAUUACAACACCUUGAAGGAACUCAAGAAGCUGCUCCUAAUGGUAGUUCAGAAGAAGAAGGCUCAAUCAAUGACGGGGUAGAUUAUAAUCCCUUCCAUCAGGAACAAAGCUCCAAUAGUGAAUUUUCUUCUCGUUCUCGAAUUCAUAGGCAUCGCGAUUCUUAUCAGCCUUUCGACUUCAAGGUCGAAAUUCCUGAAUUUGAAGGAAGAAUGCAACCAGACGAGUUUGUUGAUUGGCUUAAUACUGUUGAACGCAUUUUUGAAUACAGAGAUGUGCCUGAAGAUCGCAAAGUGAAACUCAUUGCCAUUAAACUUAAAAAGUAUAUGCUUCUUUAUGGUGGGAAAAUCUUAAGAGGCAAAGGGAACGAGAGGGACGGAGGAAAAUUGUUACUUGGGAGAAAAUGAAAAAAGAGCUUAAGAGAAAGUUUUUGCCCGAUAACUACAGGCAAGAUAUCUACCUUAAGUUCCACAACUUCAGGCAAAAGGAAUUGUCAGUGGAAGACUAUACAGCAGAGUUCGACAACCUAAUGAUGAAGUGUGAUUUGGUAGAGGCGGAAGAGCAUACGAUUGCACGCUAUCUGGGUGGUUUGAAACCUGAGAUUGGUAAUGUGGUCCAGCUCCAACCAUAUUGGACUUAUAGUGAUGUAUGCAGACUUGCUCUUAAGGUGGAAAAGCAACAAAAAGAUGCUCGUGGUGGGGGUAUUCGGUUUACAGUUCGUGAUGUCAAUCGAGGGAGUGGCUCCGUUUCUAAGCAUAAUUCUGGUUCGAAUUCUACUGCAAAGAAAAUUACGAGGAAUGAUAUUGGGGAAGGAUCUAAACAGCGAGCAAGUGGUUCGAAUGCUAGUUCUCGUCAAUGUUUUAAAUGCCAUGGUUAUGGGCACAUUGCUUCUGAGUGUCCUAAUCGUAGGGUGGUUGCCCUUGUUGAAGAGGAAAGCGAUGACGAGGAUGCGGAAGAUCAUGAGAAUCCUAGUGUCGAAAAGGGUGUUGAAGAUGGAGAAGUUACAUAUGCUGAUGAUGGAAACUCUCUAGUUAUUCAAAAGAGUUUGAGUAUUGUUUGUGAAUAUGGGGAAGAUUGGCUGAGAAAGAAUAUCUUUCACACCAGAUGCACUUGUCAUGGAAAGAUAUGUAAUGUCAUUAUUGAUAGUGGUAGUUUUGAGAAUGUGGUAGCAACUGAAAUGGUGAAGAAGUUGAAGCUCAAAACGGAGCAGCAUCCUUAGCCUUAUAAACUUUCUUGGCUUAAAAAGGGAAAUGAGAUUGAGGUAAACACACGUUGCCUUAUUUCAUUUUCUAUUGGGAAUAAAUAUAAAGAUGAAGUUUGGUGCGAUGUUGUCCCUAUGGAUGCAUGUCACUUGCUUUUAGGUCGUCCUUGGCAGUACGAUAGAAGGGUUGUUCAUGAUGGUUAUAGGAAUACUUAUACUUUCAUUAAAGAUGGAAGUAAAGUCAUUAUUGGUCCUUCAAAGGAAGAGAAAAGUCCCAAACCUAUUAAAGGAGUGGAAAACAAUUUGCUGAAUGUUUCAGAUUGUAAAAAAGAAUUUGAAAUGGGUAGUGAAGUUUACGUGCUGGUGGUGUUUGAGGAAAAUGAAGAUAGCAAUGAGCCGCCUCUGAUUAUGAAGUAUUUGCUUGAAGAAUUCUCAGAUGUUGUUCCAGAAGAAUUACCACAUGGCCUUCCUCCCAUGAGGGACAUUCAACAUUGCAUUGAUCUUAUUCCGGGUUCUGUACUACCAAAUAAAGCGGCUUAUCGAAUGAAUCCAAAGGAGCACGAAGAAUUAUAGAGGCAAGUUGAAGAGCUUAUAGGGAAAGGGUUGGUGAGAGAUAGCAAAAGUCCUUGUGCUGUUCCUGCCUUAUUGGUACCAAAGAAAGAUGGGUCUUGGCGUAUGUGUGUUGACAGCAGAGCAGUGAAUAAGAUAACGAUUGAUUAUCGUUUCCCUAUUCCACGCCUUGACGAUCUUCUAGACCAGCUCUAUGGUGCUACAAUCUUUUCUAAGAUCGAUCUUCGAAGUGGCUAUCAUCAAAUCAGAAUGAGACCUGGUGACGAAUGGAAAACGGCCUUCAAAACGAGGGAUGGACUUUAUGAAUGGAUGGUUAUGCCAUUUGGUCUAUCUAAUGCCCCAAGCACUUUCAUGCGGUUGAUGAAUCACGUUUUUAAGCCUCUGAUUGGUAGAUUUGUUGUUGUGUAUUUUAAUGAUAUCCUUGUGUACAACCAAAAUGAAAAACAACACUUGGAGCAUCUUUGCCAAGUCUUCGAGAUUUUGAGAAAUCAAAAGCUUUAUGUCAACUUGAAAAAGUGCAGGUUCUUCACAUAUAGCCUUGUCUUUUUGGGUUAUGUUGUAUCGAAAGAUGGAAUUAAAAUGGAUCCAAGCAAGGUGGAGGCCAUUUUGAGCUGGCCAAUUCCUAAGUCGCUACAUGACAUCUGAAGUUUUCAUGGUCUUGCUUCUUUUUAUCGACGAUUUAUUAGAGGGUUCAGUAUAAUUGUUGCUCCAGUAACUGAAUGCUUGAAAGGAGAAGGUUUCAAAUGGACCAAGGAGGCACAAGAGAGUUUUGACAUCAUCAAGAGAAAGGUGACUGAAGCGCCUGUUCUUUCACUUCCAGAUUUCAGCAAGGUGUUUGAAGUUGAGUGUGAUGCCUCUAAUACUGGAAUUGGUGCUGUACUCAGCCAAGAAAGGAAACCAGUUGCUUUCUUUAGUGAAAAAUUGAAUGACUCCCGCAGAAAGUACUCAACUUAUGACAAAGAAUUGUAUGCUAUUUGCCGAGCUUUGAACCAUUGGAGUCAAUAUUUGCUUUCAAGGCCAUUUAUUCUCUUCUCUGACCAUGAGGCACUAAAGUUUAUCAAUAGUCAGCAGAAGCUUAGUAGAAAACAUGCCGGAUGGGUGGAAUUUCUUCAAGCUUACAAUUUUACCAUCAAGCAUAAAUCGGGUGCUCAGAAUGUUGUGGCUGAUGCUUUAAGUCGAAAACAUUCAUUGCUUUCUUCUAUGCAAGUGAAGGUUGUAGGCUUUGAAAUUUUGAAAGAGCUAUACAAGGAUGAUUCUUUCUUUGGCAGGAUUUGGAGAGAAUGUGAGAAUGGAUCAUAUGAUCAGUACCAAUUACAUGAUGGCUUUCUUUUCAAGGGGAAUCGUUUAUGUAUUCCUCAGUGUUCUUUGCGGGAAUCUAUUAUCAUGGAGGCACAUGGCAGUGCUGUUGGAGGUCACUUUGGAAGGGAUAAGACGUUAGCUUGCUUGCAAGGUAAUUUCUAUUGGCCAAAGAUGGAUAAAGAUGUUGUGCAUCAUGUGCAGAGGUGUAAAAUCUGUCAUAUUGCCAAAGCUCAUGGUCAAAACACAGGCCUAUACAAUCCUUUACCAGUCCCUGAAGCUCCUUGGGAAGAUGUUAGUCUAGACUUUGUUGUUGGGUUGCCAAGAACUCAAAGAAAUAAAGACUCUGUCAUGGUGGUGGUUGACCAAUUCUCAAAAAUGGCUCAUUUUGUUCCGUGUAACAAGACAUUGGAUGCCUCUCAUGUGGCUGAUUUGUACUUCAAGGAGAUUGUGAAGCUACAUGGAAUUCCGAAAACCAUUGUCUCUGAUCGGGAUUCAAAGUUUUUGAGUCACUUUUGGCGUACUCUUUGGAAGAAGUUGGGAACCACUCUUAAAUUCAGCUCUUCUCAUCAUCCUCAAACUGACGGUCAGACUAAAGUGAUGAAUCGAAGCUUGGGAAAUCUCUUGAGACGUUAUGUGGGCAAGAACAUUCGUCAAUGGGAUCUUAUUUUGCCUCAGAUUGAAUUUGCUUACAAUCACUCCAUACAUCAAACUACUGGUUCAAGUCCCUUUGAAGUAGUUUAUGGCAAGAAUCCAAUCAGUCCUUUGGAUUUGGCUCCACUUUUGACCGAUCAUCAAUUUAGUGGAGAGGCUGAAGAACGCUCUAAAAGUAUCAAGAAGAUGCAUGAACAGGUUCGAGAUAGAAUAUUGAAGCAAAAUGAGAAGUAUAAAAAAUCUGCAGACAAGCAUCGAAGACAUGCUAAGUUUCAGGAAGGAGAUUUGGUUUGGGUUCAUCUUAGGAAAGAUCGUUUUCCACCUGGGAAAUUUGCUAAACUUAGACCAAGGGCUGAUGGACCAUUUAAAGUGUUGCAACGCAUUGGUGAUAAUGCUUACAAGAUUGAGCUACCAGAUGGCUAUGGUGUUUCGUCAACGUUCAACAUAUCAGACUUGUCUCCUUAUCAUGAAGAAAAUGAUCAAAACUCGAGGUCGAAUUUUUUUCAACUAGGGGAGAUUAACACAGGAGUGUUUGAAAUAUUUGGUAAUCAAGUUAUACCAAGUGCAGCUCAAGUUCUUACAUUAAUCAAGUGAGCAGAAUUUCUGUGCAGAAGGGGCAUCUUUGGGAAUUAAACUGUACUGCAUGAGAUCGAAUUAAUUUUCGAGCCAUACAUCAUUGGAAAUAUAUUUCUGUUAGCUUUCCAAUGAAUUUUACUAAUCUAAAUUUGGAGUUUUCUACAGUAAGUUAUGAUCAGUUAAGUGCAGACUGUUCAGUUUUGAGUCAAGAAGAAUAUUUCGGGACUUAGAUUUUUUUUAAUGUUCUUUGUUGUGUUUUAAGCAUACCAAUGUUUUAUUAAUGUCUAGCUUUAAUGUUGGUCUUUAAAGUCAAGUUAUUUGAAGGGUUUCUUUGUAGUAAAUCUAUGCUUGGAGGAUUGUUCCAAGAAAGUUAUUUAAGCUUAUGUAGUUGUAACAAAAAGACACAGAUUAAUUUUGGAAAUUGAAUGAACUUUGAGCUAUUAUCAAACUCUGUAUCUCUUUGGUGGAUUCCAUUGAGUGGUGAGUGUUUUAAGCUCUGUAUCCGUAGCUUAACAACUUUAGGUGGUGAAUAUUUUUCUGUAUCCUUUUGUUGUUUGCUGUGGUGGUGAGCUUGUGAUUUCUUGAGUGUGUGACGUUGUGCUUUCUCAUCUAUUGUGUCCGGUGUCAUACCCACGUAUUUUUUAACCACAAUUCCCAGCUUCCCUUUUAUAUAUGUCGGCAUCAGCUGAUCAGCAUGAAUUAAGAGUUCAUAACCAAACUGAAAUAGAUAUCCAAAGUUUAGUGUUACUGAGAAAUAUGAGUUCUAGGAUUUAUUUUAUGCUCGUCGCGAUAUUUACUGUCGCUGGAGUUUUUCAAUUUUCCGGCCAAGUUUCCGGCGCACAACACUGUGGAAUGAAUACAAAUGUUCUGGGCCAGCUUGUAUCACAAUGUGAGAAAUAUGUGUUGAAAUCGGGGCCGAAGAUUCGGCCAUCUCCUGGUUGUUGUGCGGUUGUGAAGAAGGUUGAUGUGCCAUGUGUGUGCAAGUUUGUGACAAAGCAGAUUGAAGAAAUUAUAAGCAUUGAGAAGAUGGUUUAUGUGGCCAGGUCAUGUGGCAUAAAGAUUUCUGCUGGGACAAAAUGUGGAAGUAAGUAAAGAACAGUACUCGUGCAAUUAUCAAUAAAUUCUAUUAAGAAUGAUAAUGCACUUCUCAAACAGUAUCUCGACUUUAUUUCUCAUAAGUGAUGCGGCAUCUAUCUGUAAAAUAAUAAUAUGAACUAAUAAGUAAUCUUAUAGGUUCAUGAAAUUGGCAUUCAAUUGAUGGUCAUAUAUCAUCUCAGUAUUUGCGAUGAAUAUACUGAAAACUACUUAGGAAGUGCAGCAUUAUUCUUUCAUUAAUUUUGAUUUACAUUCACACAAAUUGUUAAAGGUCAGUUUUCUUUGUGGUUCUUCGAAGAAAGAAAUUUUAGUUUGUGACUAUGUUAGUUUUUUAUUUCUGUAAUAACACUCGAUCUCUUACUAAAAUUUAUUGAAGAAUGCAAGAGAGAUUUGAGAAAUUUUCUCCUGUAAUGGACGUCAAAUUAAGUCCAAUAUGGUGAAGAAUAAAUUUGCUAAUGCUGUGUUGUAAUUAAUUGUCUUAGGCUUCACUGUCCGAUCUGCUUGAAAAUGGGAGUGCAUGAAUGUCUGAAGCACUGGGAGGCAGCUAGGUUUUGUGACGAGUCUGUUGAUGUUAUAAGAGGCAGGUUUCAUGGUGUUGUGUUAAUGUGCUGAUCGAUUUAUAUUUACUUUCUUAUUCUAUGUUUCUUGAUUUUAAUAAUAAUAAUAAAAAUAAAAAGAGGCAAUUCUAAUCAAUUUCUUACAAAACAACGGAUUAUUUGGUCUUUUGUAUAUAUUUUGUCAAAAUUUAUCAAAGAAGCAUUCCGAUUUCCGAUAAUCCGAUUUGUGCUCUAGAGCAAUUCAAAUUGGCUUUCCAAAUACAGUGCGUGGAUGAGUUUGAAAAUCUAAAAUAAAUAAUAGAAAAAUGAAGAACAAGUAAUCCCAAAUUCAAUUUCAUCCAUUUCAGCCUCUGAUCAUAGAAAAUUCUUGAAGAACGAUCACGGUAAAAAUUUUAUAGAUAAACAAGCAAGAAUCAAAAAAUUAAAUUAAUAAUUUUAUUAAUCUAAAUUACCAAAUUAAUAAAAAAAGAUGAAAAACAAAACCAAAAUUAUUGUUAAAGGGUAUUAGUGUAAAAGCAAACAAAAAGAAAUAAAAAAUAAUCGUAGAGGUAUCAUUAAUUAAACGAGCACCAAUAUCAAAAUAUAGAGGGCAAAUGGAAUUUUACCUCUAAUAAAAUGAACUAUUACCCCAUGCGAUGUUGGAAGAAAAAUAUAAAAUAAUCGAUUAACAUUAUAGUUCAUUUUGUUGUUGUAUCAUUCUUUAGUAUAAAAUAGUCACUUGAACAAAAACCAUAAAAUUUUCCCAAAAAAUAAGAAGUGGGUACGUUUCUAUGCAUGCAUGUAGCUAUGGGAAUUGAAAAUAUAAAAGUUCAAGGGAAAUGAAUAAAUUGCUGGCAAGAGGAAUGUUAUGAUGAACAAACCUUUCAGCAAGCACAGCUGAACCCUCUUCAAACAACUCCUCCACAACCCAACAGCAGCGAGCUUGCUGAUGUUUUUUUCAUAGAAUCCUGAGCUUUCUUCACAAAGAUAAGUGAACUUGUAACCAUAAUUAACCAUAACAGAAUCAUGGUUAUAACAAAGUGGGCUUUAUAGCUUUAAAAAAUAUAAACUGAUGUGAAAAUUUAAGCUUAAUGGUAUACUAAGUUUACUAAAAAAUCUAAACAUUUAAUAUACAUGAAUUAUGGUUUUAAUACACAAAUCAUAAUAAUACAUGGAGAAAAAAUGAACCCAAUGAUUAUAGGAAAAUUAGAAAAAAAAAAUGGAUGAAACUUUUACCGGCAAAGAAAAGAACAAGUAGUCAAGUAGCCAAAACGUUGAGAACCUUCAUGUUGAAGUAUGCUUUGCUAAAAUUUAUAAGGGCUUAGAAUUUUGAGUCAGACUCUGAUGAGGAAAAUGGACAUGGUUCUAAUAGAGGAAAUGGUUGUAAAAAGGAGUCCUUUGUAGCUAGAAAAUACACAUAAAAAAAAAAAAUUGGGGUUAAGAAAUUUUCUUCCCCAUCUUCAAGAGAAUGGAGAGGAGAUUUUACUAUCUCACUGCAGCAUUCAUGGUCAUUGAUGUCACCAGUGAUUGCCAUUUCUUUUUGUUCACUUACGGCAUUAGAUGUGAGUGAAGGUUGCUGAAGUUUCGAGAGGAUAGUGGCAGUGGACGUUGUUGGUUGGUUUGCAUGGGGUUGGAUUUGAGAUGGAGGGUCUGUAUGAGAGUGGUUUGGUUUGAUUCGCGGUGAUGGCAAUUGGACAUCCGGAGGUGGUUCGUUGGUGAAUUUUGGGGGUCGUCUAAAUGAUUUCUUAGGAGGGUUCAAACUCCUGAUAAUUCGUUCAUCGGCAGAGAGGGUGUGGACCGGUGAUGGCUGGUUGCCAUCACCGGCGGCCGGAGAGGCCAUUAAGGCCGCUUAAGGCUUUUUUUUGGGGGGGGGGGGGAGGGGGGAGACGUGGAGAGGUUUUUUUCUACUCCUGCAUUUGCUGCAUGUAUGUCUAAUUGCUUCCAAAAAUCAAAUCUUUAAUGCUUCCAAAAUUGAGCUCUUUUAUGCCCUUUUUAUCCAUAAUCUCAAAUUAAUUCUCUAUUCAAUAAAAUAAUGCAAUUAAUUAAAAAUAAGAAAUAAAAAUAACUAACAAAUAUAUAAUAAAGAGUAAAAUAUGUAUAUAAAUUAUGAACAUCAUGCAUUGACACAGUUUUUACUCUUUGAUUAUUGGAUAUCCCUGACUUUAAGUUCAUCGAGUUCUAAACUAGGGAAAUUUAUACAAAAUGCUAUCAAUGAAAUACACAAAAUUCAGCCUCACGAAAGUUAUACAAAAUGCUAUCAAUGAAAUACAUUCAGGAUUAACAAUCACGUUGAUCAAUCAAAAACUUCCCUUGGUCUAUAAGUUCUGAUAUGGAAAUUUCUUGAACAUCAGGUUUUCCCAAUGGUGAUUUCCCUGAGAGAAAUUCUUGAGAUAUGCACUUCAUUGUAGGUCGAGACUUGGGUUUUGACUGCAAGCAGGCAAAUGCAACAAUUGAAACAAGAAUGAUAUCCUGAACAACCUUUCGAUCAACCGGAGGCGGCAGACGUUGGUCUAAAACAUCGAUCAACCUAAUCUUUCGAUCACAUGAUGAUGACAAAGAUGUAGGAUCUGUUGGAUGACUUCCCAUUAAUACUUCUAGUGCCACUACUCCAAAGCUAUAAACAUCACAUUUCUCUGUCACGGCCAUAGUGUAGGCAAGUUCUACAGCAAAAUUGAACCCAUUGUAAAAUUUAUUUACACAAGUAAAUAACAAUUAAGGAAAAAAAAGAAACAAAGAUUUGAUUCUCUGUUUCUGAGAGCUUCUGCAGAUAAAUAUUUAAGAGAUAUAUUAUUAAAUUUUGCUUACAUUUAGUGUAUAAACAUGGGUAAGAUGCGCGAAAAGAAUAGCGAAAAUUUACCUGGAGCAAUAUAUCCAUAUGUCCCGACCACUAGAGUUCUGUUGGAGGAAUCUGGAUGCAGGAGCCUAGCCAAACCAAAAUCAGCAACAAAUGCCUCUAGGUUUGAAUUAAGUAGAAUGUUAUUGCUGCAUAUGUCGCGGUGGACAAUUGGUGGCUUGCAGUCAUAAUGCAAGUAAGACAAAGCAUGAGCCAUACUCUUUACAAUGUUCACUCUCUUAGUCCAAUCCAGCUCAACAGCUUCAACGUCAUUGCGUAACACACAGAACAAGCUUCCCCGCUCCAUGUACUCAUAGAUCAAAAACAUGCACUUGUUAUGCAAACAAAAACCAUAAAGCUUCACUAUAUUACGAUGCCGUAUUUGGGAUAGUAGACGAGCUUCAGUUUGAAAACUUUCUAGGAAGGCUAGCUCCUCUGUCUCUGAACGGUGAAGUUUCUUCAAAGCGACUACUCUUCCACUAGACAAUUGUGCUCUGUAAACGCUGCCAUAACCUCCAGUUCCAAUGCAAUAUUUGAUGUGGAAAUCCUCUGUCGCUUGAAUCAUCUCUUCAAAUGUAAUUCUACCAUCAUAACUCCAUAUGGAGAACUCAUCAGCCCCCUUGGUCAUUUCUCGGGUAUUAGGACUAAUUUUCUCAUCCCUUCGUCUGUGGACAAACAAGAUUCCAAGAAUUAGGGCAAGAAAUGCGAACAUUGGAAGAACAAUCGUAACCAAGCGAGUGACGAUCUUUUGGUGUUGUUCUUUGUUGCCUUUAAAAUGUUGUGCUUGGUGUGGUGGUGCAUUUUCUGAAAUAACUGGGUUUUCUACCUCUAGAUUAUUUUCUGACCAUUUUAAUCCGGGCACUCUCAAGACAGAUUUGGGGAUAACGCCGGAGAGGUUAUUCUUGGAAAGAUCCACGGCAGAAAUGUUUGGAAUUUUUCCGAGUUGUGAAGGUAUCGUGCCAUUUAUGAAGUUACGGCUUAAAUCAAGUUGUCUCAAAAAUAUAAGGUUGCCUAUCUCCGAUGGAAUGCUUCCGCUUAAACUGUUGUGGGUUAAUACCAAGUUCAGUAACUGCGAGCAAUUCAUGAGUUGUAGAGGGAUGGAGCUGUUGAGCUGAUUGUAACCAAGAUUCAAAGAGGUGAGGUUCGUUAAAUAACCAAUUGUUGAAGGAAUAGGUCCAAUCAGAUUGUUCGUAUCAAGAGAUAGAGAAUCAAGGUUCCUCAGAUUUCCAACUUCUCGAGGCAGCAGACCACUAAGUUGGUUUGAAGAAAGAUCCAGAGAGGUUAAGUUGGUUAAAUUUCCUAUGGUCGGUGGAAUUGGACCAUUAAGUCUGUUGUGAGACAAGUCCAACUUUUCCAACGAGUUUAAAUAACCAAUGGUCGAAGGAAUAGGUCCAGUGAGAUUGUUCCUAUUUAGAAGCAGAGUCUUAAGAUUCUUCAUAUUUCCAACUUCUCUAGGCAGUGGACCGACAAGAUUGUUGUAAGCCAAGUACAAAACUCUUAACUGAUUUAAAUGAUAAAGUGUUGAAGGAAUAGGUCCAGUUAGAUUAUUAUUAUCUAGAUACAGAGAGAAAAGAUUCUUCAGAUUUCCAACUUCUCGAGGCAGCCGACCACUAAGUUUGUUUAGAGAAAGGUCCAAAAUUGUCAGCUUGGUUAAAUUACCUAUGCUCGAUGGGAUUAGACCAUCUAGUUUGUUACCUCGCAGAAUCAGGGAAUGAGGAUUCUUCAAAUUUCCAAUUUCUAAGGGGAUAGCACCAUUGAGAAUGUUAAAAGAUAGGCCCAGUACGACGAGAUUCCUCAAACUCCCGAUCGCCGAGGGGAUAGUACCUAUCGUAUAUAUACACAUGCAUAUGAUUAACUAACGAUAAAUGAGCAAUAUUAUCCAGUACCGAUAGGAAAUUAUUGUAUAUGCAAUGAAAUUAUUUAUAAUGGUUACCUGUAAGAAGGUUAUAGGACAGGUCAAGCUCCUCGAGUUUUGAAAGAGCACCAAUUUCUGAUGGUAUCCUUCCGGAGAGAAAACGAGUGCCCCAAAUUCUGAAAGUUACGAGGUUAGGAAAGCAAGUGAAGUUGAAUUGGCUAAGCUCUGCUGCGUUGCCAUUGUUUUCCAUCUCCUCAGAGUUUAUCUCGACUAUGCUUCCUGCUGAAUUGCAAGUGAUUCCCAUCCACUUGCAAUGAUCUGAAGUAUAGUUGGCCCUCGCCCGACUGCUAUUCCACCAGCCUGAAUUAAGUAAAGCUUCCCUUUCUAACUGAAUGGCUGACGAUGCAGCAGACGCUGUUACAACUGCAUUAUCAGUUGUAACAGGAGCAAUAAUACUGCUUAAAAAAGUUAUAAUGACUACCAAUUUUGAAAUGGAGGAAUCCGGUGCCAUUUUUAUAAGUUUUUGGUUGAUUAGAUUCAGCCAGUGCAUGCCUGCUUUUAUAACUAAACAUUAAGUUUGACAGCAACACUCAACCAUUUUUAGCCCGCGUCGAGCUUUCUCCCUCAUCGUCAAAAUUGGCAUACGCGUUAUCAAACACAAGGUCAGUUGAGUUAAUGUCCUUUUAGGCCACUAAUUGCUAUUUUUAAUUAAUUUCGCAAGUAAAGGCUACAUGUGAUUCAUAUUCUCGCAACUUUCUAUUUCCUUUCUUUACUUUUUAGUCCACUUUCCUUUCUCCUAAAUAUUUUUCUAGAAUGGGAGGAUUAUAUAUAUUCUAGUAACUUUUCUUUUUGGAAAAAAUUUUUAUGCCCGAAUUUAGAUCCCGACCGAAUUCCACCAAGUGUAUUUGUUUUAUUUUUUUAUUUUUUUGCCUUUACGGGUUCAGUUGGGAUUUAUGUUCCGGGCUAUAGCAUUGCUCCUUCUUUUGUGUCACUUUCCUCCAUCAUCAAAAUAUCGGAUAAUCUUGAGAAAUUUUAAAAUUUAUCCUUACUUAACAAAGAAUUAGGCCCAAUACCAUAUUGUCGCCAAAUCUCAAAGGAGAAUUUUCUAUUUUUCUAGUAAAACAUAUUCUAUAAUUUACAGUAAUUAUCUAUUGGUAAUGCUAAUAGUUUUUUACACUAAACAAUAUUUUCAGACCCAAGUCAACACAAUUCUAAAAAUAAAGUAAAUAUUUUUUCCAUUCAUACGGAAAAAAUAAAAAUUACCAAGUUCAUCAAUACUCAUAUCAUUUAUCAUCAUCCGAAGCUAUACUUGCAUCAUCAAUUGUCGAUCUACAAAAGAGAAAUCAAAGAUGUUAAAAAUAUUUCUAAUAAUUAAAUAUAAAGACUGGUACCUAGGUGUUUGAAUUUAAAAAAAAAAUCAUUAAAAAAUUAUCUUUCAAGUAAUAUAUAAUUUUGUUGUGUAUUAUAUACUACAUUAAUGAUGUAUUCUAAAUAGAUGAAGUCCGCUCCCAAAUGGUGAUUGAUAUCUAUAUCUAAAUGUGUCUUAUAUAUUUCAAGAGAAAAUUUUACCUAUACUCUUAAGGUUUGGCGGAAAUGACAUGCAUGAACCUUACCUUACAAUAUAACCUCAUGAUUGCAUUUUGCUGGAUAUUAUAUAAUAAAUUAAUUCCGUUGUCUAUUAUAUUCUAUAUUAAUGAUGUAUUCCAAGUAGAUGAAACUCACUCUCAAGUAGGGUCCAAUAUGGCCGUAUUCAUGUGUCUUACAAUUUCACCGAAACAAAUUUUGGGGGGGGUUUAAGUUUCUUUUUCCUUUAUAUUUAUAUUUAUGAGAAUUAAUAAUUCUAACCAGCUGUCAUUUUAGUUGUGUUUAAAAUUGAUGUAUCAAAAAUAUGGAAAAUAGAUGGAAAAAUUUUCAAAUAAUACCCCGUCACAGAGAUAAUGUAGACUGACAUGUUUAAACAUAUAAACUCGUCAGUCGCCAAUUACUUGAAACCCACGGCCACGUCUAUUAGACAAUUAAAAAAAAGAAAUAACUUGUGUACUGUGGAUUCACACAUGAGGCUUAAUAAAUCGGCAUAUAUGUCACUUGUGAAACUCAAAGGAAUACCAAUUAAUUCACGUUAGAAAAGUGUUUUAUUUUGUAAUAAAUUAAUUUCGUUGUCUAUUAUAUACUACAUUAAUAGAUGAAACUCACUCUCAAGUAGUGUCCAAUACGGCGAUGUCUAUGUGUCUUACAAUUUCACUGAAACAAAUUUUGCGGAGGUUUUAAGUUCCUUUUUCAUUUAUAUUUAUAUUUAUGAGAAUUAAUAAUUCUAACCAGCUGUCAUUUUAGUUGUGUUUAAAAUUGAUGUUUCAAAAAUCUGGAAAAUAGAUGGAAGAAUUUUCAAAUGAUACCCCCGUCAAAGGGAUAAUUUAGACUGACACGUUUAAACAUUUGAACUCGUCAGUUGCCAAAUACUUGAAACCCACGGCCACGUCUAUUAGACAAUUUUGAAAAAAAAAAAAAAAAAAACCAAAGACUCAUGUGCUGGGAAUUCACACAUGAGGCUUAAUUAAUCAGCAUAUAUGUCACUUGUGAAACUCAAAGGACUACCAAUUAAUUCACGUUAGAAAAGUCUUUUUUUUUUUUAAUAAUUUUUUGAAUUAAAAGACAAGGAUUUAAUCAAACAAAAUUCAGUCGGACGAAAUUUAUACAAACUACCAUGAGCAAAAUACAUUCAAGAUUAACAAUCACAUUAAUCUAGCAUCCUUUUUUUUACUCCUUUCUCUUUUUCUUUCUUUACUUUUUAGGCCGCUUUCCUUUCUCCAAAUUACUUUUCUUGAUUUUCCACAGAACACAUCAAAACAUUGGACCACCUUGAGAGUCAAGAAAUAUUAAAUUUUUGGAGUCUACAAAAAAAUUAAAUAUUUUUGUCAUAAUUUGUAGACUUUUGUUCUUCUAUCAUUUUCGCAAAUUUAUUGAGAAACCACCAUAUUUAAGCAAAAGUCAUAUAGAAUUUUUUUUUUUAUAUUUUUUAUGAUGCACAAAGGACGACUGUUCUUAAAAGUUUAACUGAGCAAUUUUUUAAUUAUUUUAUUUAACUGGUUAUCCAAGUUCGAAUUCCAGAUGACUCUAACCCUAAAACCAGAUGUGGGGUACUCACAUCCCCCAUAUGUCCGUUGAAAAUAGGGUUGGCAAAACCUCGGGUCGGGUCCGGGUAUCGCAAUGACCAGACUUGACCCAAAUGCAUAGAUUCCAGGGCCGAGUUGUGCCGGGCUUUAAUCCGAGUACCCGGAUUUUAUAUUUUUUAAUAUUAUAUGUGUAUAUUUUUUUAUUUUUUGGUAAUUGUAUAAGUUUUAACUUUAUUUUAAUAAAAAUUGACAUGAAAAUAUGAACUUUAAGUGUUUAAAACUUUAUAUAUAUGUAAUAAAUGAGUCAAAUAAAUAUAAAUAUUUAAAAUAAUAUAUAUUUUAUAAUUUUUUUUAAUAAAAUCCGAGUUCCGGGUUUAUCAAGUGAUGCUCAAGACCGGCCCGGCUUCAUAUUACCCGGCCCAAAAUGCCUGGGUGCGGUCUGGGUCCGGACCGGACGAGUAUUUUUGCCACCCCUAAUUGAAAAGGGCAAAUUUUGUUUUCAACUAAGCAGCCCCUUUGUGGCUUGUAUCGAUGUACGUUUAACAUUGUCGCUCUAAUUUGAUCCUAAUAUGCACUAAUGCAAAACAAUAUGCAAUGGAACUUUGUGAACUUACGGUAACAAUUUAUUUAAACUUAUGCAAACUACUUAACUGACCAGUCAAAUAGAGUAUCAAAUAAAAUUUUAAUAUUUGGUUAAGAGACCACAAGAGUUCAUAAAUAUAUUUUUUUUUUACCAAUUAAGAAGAUUAAAAUGAACGGCAUAUUUUGUACAGAAUUAAUAUUCGUAUUCAAAUUUAACAAUAUAGUGGGCUUUUCAAAUUUCAAAUGUGUAGAUGGGGCUAAAUGCCUAAACCACAACUUUCCUUAUUAUUUUCAUUGAAUCAUCAUAACUCUGAAAAUUCAAAUUUGAAAAUAUUUUCUGACUCUCUUCUUCAUCAUUUAGUUUAUACUUCAACUGACCAUUAGAGGCAAUCAAAAGGGUUAGAAAGUAAUUACUAUCAAUAUUUGUGUACUUCAGAAUUUGAACCUUAAUGAGCAAUUAACCAAGAGUUGUUAAUUUCUCUUCCUUUCCAAAAUUCUGUUAGAAUUGUCAAUUGUUACGGCAUAUGGGUGUAAAGAUUUUUUGAUAAUAAAAGUUAAAAUUAUGGGGUGGGUUUUUAUAAGAAUUUUGGAGGGGUGUAAGAAGGUCCACUCUACUCAUAAAUGAAGCCAUGACUUGGAGAAAUGGAAUACGGAGCCCAUUAACCUUAAAGGCCUUAAACAAACCCAACAUGCUUUAAAGUGAUAAUUAAGAUGUGAGACAAGCUCGCUCUAUCACUGAAGCAUGUUCGGUUUAUUAUACGUUGUAAACCCAUCAAUUUUUGAAGUUGUUUACUAUUGCAUUUCAUCUAAAACCUGUAUUUGGUUUAUUAUACGUUGUUUUCAAAGUCGUUGACAAUCGACGGGGCGAUACCGAAAUAGAUAGUCCUAGCCUCCUAGGCGCGCGCGCGCAAAAGAAAAAAAAAAGGAUAAUGUAUUACAAGAUCACUGAUGCAUGGAAGAUCCUAGUUUUGUAGUGAGAGUAAAAGAAUUGAGCUUGAAACUAUUUUUUUGCUCAUUUUUUUAAUGAAACGCUUCAAAGAAAACAUAGAUGGCGGGAAGCAAAAUGGUUGAAGUAAGCAAGCUGUGCAGUGAGAACUGGAGGCACAUCACGAUUCACGCAUGAAUAGAAUUUGUGUGUAUGUGUGUGUGUGUGUGUGUGUGUUAAUAAGCCGAGGAUUGAUUCAGGCUGGCAAAAAUAUUAUUCAUAGUCAUUGUCAUUGUAGUGUAGUAUACCUUUAUUCUUAACUAGAUGUUAGUCCUUAUCUCCCCCAAGAUUCGACCACAAGUGGCUAGUUAUAGAAAGCUUCUUUUUUUUUUUAAUUUAAAACCACCAGAGUGGUGGGGGGUUAGCCGGGACCCCUACCUGUAAUAUAAAUCUGAAAAUGAAUCAGAUACAAAGGAGGGAGACAUGAGAUACAAGAAAAGGCUUAUCUGGUAUAGGGGAUUGCAUGGGCAUCCAAGUAAAGAAUACCAGAUAAGCCUUUGAGAAGCUCCCGAGGAGAUUAAAAACGUCGGCUAGUCCGAUGAGUGCACGCCCAGUUGGCUAGAAAAUCAGCAGCAAAAGUAGCCUCGCAAAGAACAUCUCUCACCUAAAUGGGGAAUGACGUUACCAAACGACACACCUAGCGCAGAGAAUAAGAAUACUCCCAUCGUAAAGGACCCUGGGUGUGAAUUCAUGACACCACCGUAGCCGAGUCCGACUCAACCUCAAGCACUGAAUACCCAAGCUGAAUGGCAAGCUCCAAACCCUCGCACACCGCCAUGAGCUCAGCAUAUAAGAUCGGCUUGUAGCCCAAAAAGGAUAUAAAAGCCGUUAAAACCACACCCUGGUGAUCCCGAAGAGUACCCCUGGAAGCAACCAUCUUAGGGUUGCCCCUAGAGCAACCAUCCACAAUAAGCUUAGCCACCCUUGGGGGCGGCCUCGUCCAAGCAACUAGACGAAUCGACCUCCUAGGGGGAGUUGUUGAGUGUUAGAAAAUGUAUAUUUAUAAAGGAGAAAAUCGUCAUUUUACAUUUCACGUCUUACUAACAACCCUUACUUUUAUGUAUUUAAGUUUCUUGUAAUUUAAUUAUGUGUGUUUUAUUUUAAUUAAGUAUUUUAUGUAUUUUAGGGGCAUCAUGGUCAUUUCACAAUAAACGAGAGAUCAGACUGCAAAACGGACAUCACUUUUGAACUCAGGACGAUUGAAAACCUUAGGAGGAGCAUAAAAGGAAAAAUGGCACUGUUCACAUGUACGGUACUGUCUACGUUACUGUUCACGACACUGUUCACAUAGACGGAUCGAUGACGUGGCAUUGACCGAUGAUGUGGCAUUGACUGAUAAGGUGUCACGAUCCUGUUGGACUAAAAUUCUUAUGUAUUGUUGAUGGUGACGUGGCAGCAUAUCAGUGGACAAAAAUCUCACGUACAGUACAUGCAUCACGCAUGAUUAUUUUCAACCAAACUGUGUUACUGUUCAACCCGGGUCAAACUGUGUUACUGUUCAUCCGCGUGGUCAAACUGCGUACUGUUGACUGAUGACGUGGCGCAAUCCUGAGCGUCCAAACUGUUUUUAAUCCGAUGGCCACGAUUUACUCAAUGUAUCUAUAAAAAGGGGGCCUUCCCCCCCUAAUUGGAUAUCUCUGAAUCCAUUUUUGGACUCCAUUUUCUGAAAUUCCUUCUCCAUCUUGUAUUUUCUACGUAUUUUAAUAAAUUCUCAUUUUGCCCCUAGUUCAAUUAUGAGUAGCUAAUUUUCUUUCAAGCUUGGGUUGAAAAUGAAGUCUCAACAUGUGUCAUGGGCUUUAUUUGGUAAAUUUACUUUCUCUUCCCCUCUAAUUUUUGUGGAUGUUUUGACUUCUCGUCGACAAAUAAUACUAAUCUUGUCUAGUACCGUCUCGGUUUCACCGGCCCCCUAGUACAAUGUUAUUAUUAUUUGGCACGAUAAGCCCUUAGCACCAUAUUGAUUAGAGCGUGGUUCAUGAGGUGUGGAUUCCCCCCUCAUGAUUUAAUUGGCAUUAAUAAGGAUUAUUUAGCUCAUGAUGCAUAUUGAUACGGAUCCAGAUACCUAAGUACGUCAUCUCAAUAGAUUUCUCUUCAAUUUAUUCUCGCCAUUUCAAUUUCAAUUUUAGAAUUUAUUCUCGUCAUUUCAAUUUCAAUUUUAGGAUAAUCCAAAUCAUUUUCACCACAAAUCCAACCACCCAUUUACAAAAUUAAUUCUACACACAAUUAAAAUCCACCUCUUCGUGGGAUCGACACUCGUCAUCAUUAGUCUAUUCUACAAUAGAUUCGUGCGCUUGCGAGUUCAAUAAAAUUUGCACAACAAGAGUCAUAACUCGCAAGCCCUUCGCAAUACGAGAACCCAAGACUCCCCUCAGUUAGGGAGGCUUGAAUCCAAAAGCAGAACUAGCGAGCCUGAGAUCAGAGUCAACCUGAUAGAUAAUCGCAUCAGAGGAGAAAGACUAUGAAUUAAACCGGAAAGCAUUUCGGACCUUCCAAAUUUGCCACAAAAAGCAUGGCAGAAGGACCCGAAGAUGAUUCCGAGAAGGUGCACAAUGUCUCCAAAAUAAAAGUAAAGCACGGGGAGAUAGAAAACCAAGCUCUCACAUCCCCAGGAUUCGCUGGUAGUGAACCCAAAUAUGAUUGGCCCGUGGACAAUUCACAAAUAGGUGCCGAGAAGUCUCAGCAACCCACCCACAAACACACUAAGAAACUAUAGAGAAACCCCUCGAGCAUAAGGCAUCAUUAGUAGCUAGGAAUCUGUGUUGUAGCUACCAGAGAAAAAAAGAAACUCGUGAUGGGAUAUGCCUCUGCCAAAUCAUCGAGAAAAGCUCAUCCAUCGGCCUAGAGCACCGUACAAGCUCUCAAGCUGUCCGCAAGUGAAACAUGCCAUCGGGGGUAAGGUCCCAACGAAUUAGGUCAGGAUUCCCACUAGAAAUAGACACUAAUAGGAUCUGCUCAAUAAUAGAUGAAGGCAAAACGUCCUCUAAUUUGCCUCUGUCCCAGACUGUACCCUGCUAAAAGAACGAGACCGGCACCGACGAAGCCGCUGUAGGGUUAUAAAAAAAUAGAGGGCAAGAACUUAGCCAGCAAUCAUACCAGAAGCUAUAAUCUCCACUCCCAAUGAGCCAAUGCACAUGAGGUCCAGCCGUGCAACGAAUCUUACAAAGGCGUCUCUAUAGAGGAGAGGCAGGAUAGCGAAACUAGAUCAAGCUCGGAUGCGUAGAUCUGCAAUACUUGGACUUCAUAUAGGAAGCGCAUAACGAACUCUGCUGACAAAACUGCCACCAAAGUUUAAUCUCAAAAGCCUCCUCCAUAUCAUCAAAAGAUCGUAUGCCAAGGCUACCCUCGUCAACUGGAUAACAAACCUUCGGCCAUCUACACCAGUAGAUCCGGCGCCUUCCCUCAGAAUCACCCCAUAGGAAUUGGGUGAACAAUCGCUCUAGGCACUGAACUACCAUUACAAGAGGACGAAGGACGUGAAAUAAGUACAGGGGCAUAGAGGAUAACACAUGGCGAAUGAGGACCAGCUUCCCAUAAAAAGAAAGCAGACAGUUAUCCCAACCGGAAAUCUUAUCCCUGACCUUCCGGACCAUGUCAUCAAAAUGGGAGAUCUUUAGGUGCCUGAGAUAAGUAAACAGAAGCUGACGCUGCUGAAAGCUAGUAACAAAGUGAACAAGGGCCUGGCGGGAGGCCGAAGCCGACUUCCUAAUGUAGGAGUUACUCUUGUCCUGGUUAAUCAACUGCCCCGAGAUCGCCUCAUAAUGGUGCAAGAAAUCCAUAAGCUGCUGUAAGCUAGGUUGGCUCCCAUUUGCAAAAAUAAUAAUAUAAUCCGCAAAGCUCAAAUGGGAGAUAGAAGUAGGUGCAGUUGAACAAUACCGGACCGAGGGAUAUGGAGAAUACAAAUGAUCCAAUUCUCGAGAGAAAAAUUCUGCAGCAAUAAUAAACAAGCACAAGGAAAGAGGAUCACCUUGCCGAAGACCCCUCUGGGACUGGAAGUAUCCUUGACUGACCCUAUUCACAAGCACUGAAAACCAAGGGUCGUAAAUCACUCGCCGAAUCAAAGAAAUCCAAUGCUCCGAGAACCUAAAACAGCGAAUCAUCUGAAGCAUAAAAGGCCAUGACAUAUGAUCGUACGCCUUGGCCAUAUCUAAUUUCAGCACCACAGUGUUCCCUCGAGUAUGGCGAUUAAGAUCCUGAACAAGCUCCUGAACCAGGAGCACGUUAUCAUGAAUCACUCGACCAGGAACAAAGCCACUCUGAGUAGGAGAAAUAAUGCGAGGUAGGAGAGGGGGCAAUCUCUAGACAAGCAACUUGGUAAGGACCUUGUUGUUCACGUUACAAAGACUAAUCGGACGGAAAUCAGCCCAAGAAUCCACAGAAUCCUUCUUAGGCAGAAGGACCAAUAAAGUACUCUAGAAACCUCUGGGCAUAGCCGAACCUCUGAAAUAAUCAAGGACAACAUCUAACAAGUCACGGCAAAUGAUGUCCCAACACGACUGAUAGAAUCUGCUAAUUAUAUAAGUUAUUUAAAAAUCAUUCGGACAAACUUUUAGUGACAAUUGAACAUAAAUUUAACUUUAAUUAAAAAAGUUCGACACCGCUUUAAUAGAAUGGAGAACGUUUAUUUUGCCCUAGGGAAAAUGCACAACAAGUUCUUUUACAGACUCCGUAACCAAAUUAGACAAGUAAAUAAUCAAUGACGGAAUUAAGAGCUUGGUUUAACAAGGUCAGCAUGAAGAAACUACAAAUUUGAGGUUAAAAAUUUAGAAAUAGAGGCCAAAACAUAAGAUUUUCAAAGAAUGACUAGAUUUCAAUUAGAUCCCAGGGAACAUUAACCCAGUUUACUGCUUGUCGUAGAACUCUUUGUUUACAUGAAUUAAUGUUUAAUAGCCUUUAGUAUCUCAAGCUUGACCCUUGCAGCUAUCUAUUAGUUCAUUUAAUUAAUAACUUGUACGUAUUAACAGCUACUGAAGUAGAAAAUGCCCGCGACUAGUGCAUUAGUUUCUUUAAAAUCCGGAGACAAAGAGUUGUUCUGAUUAUUUUAUAAUUUUUUUUUUCACAUGAGACACCAUUCAAGACAAUGUCCAUGUGGUGUGAAGGCCAAAAUGCCCGUGAACCAGUCAAUUUUUGUCUUUUUCAGCAUUUUAAUAUAAUCACUUUGUAUUUAAAUUACUAUUUGAUCGAUUAAAAUUUCAAUAAUUUUACAGCUAACCAUGUAUUUUUUAACCAUAAUUCCCAGCUUCCCUUCUAUAUAUAUAAGUCGGCAUCAGCUGAUCAGCAUGAAUUAAGAGUUCAUAACCAAACUGAAAUAGAUAUCCAAAGUUUAGCGUUACUGAGAAAUAUGAGUUCUAGGAUUUAUUUUAUGCUCAUCGCGAUAUUUACUGUCGCUGGAGUUUUGCAAUUUUCCGGCCAAGUUUCUGGCGCACAACAUUGUGGAAUGAAUACAAAUGUUCUUGGCCAGCUUGUAUCACAAUGUGAGAAAUAUGUGUUGAAAUCGGGGCCGAAGAUUCGGCCAUCUCCUAGUUGUUGUGCGGUUGUGAAGAAGUUGAUGUGCCAUGUGUGUGCACGUUUGUCACAAAGCAGAUUGAAGAAAUUGUAAGUAUUGAGAAGAUGGUUUAUGUGGCCAGGUCAUGUGGCAUAAAGAUUUCUGCCGGGACAAAAUGUGGAAGUAAGUAAAUAACAUUCCUCGUGCAAUUACCAAUAAAUUCUAUUAAGAAUGAUAAUGCACUUCUCAAAUAGUAUCUCGACUUUAUUUCUCAUAAGUGAUGCGACAUUUAUCUGUAAAAUAAUAAUAUGAACUAAUAAGUAAUUUUAUAGGUUCAUGAAACUGGCAUUCAAUUGAUGAUCAUAUAUCAUCUCAGUAUGUUCAUAUUCUCAAAGUUCUUCACAUCUUUUUAUUUCAAAUUGAAAGAUAAUAAACGCACUCUAGUUAUCUUUCAAUUAAUGAAUGAUGUUGAAAAGUCAAAGAAGAGCUUGCCAAUUUCAAGGUUGGUAGCACGAUUCAACAAAUUGUUGGUUACACCAACAAUUGUAGAGAUUUUUCAAGCCGAAAAGAAAGAAUGGACAAAGGGGAUGGAUUUGGAAAAUAAUAAUAAUUAAAAAUUAUAUUUUUAAUUAUUUUAUUCUUUGCAUAGUAAUUCAUUUCUCCUAUAAAUAGCUAAGGAUUUCAUUCAUUUGAAAUCAUCCCAAAAUUGUUAAGCUUAUAAGUUUCUAAGCUUUUGAGAGAAGUAAGAGAAGUGAGAGAAGUGUGUCUGGGGAAUUUAUCUUUCCUGCAGAGUGUGAGAGUACUGGGUAUAUUUGGGUUUAUGGGGAGUGAGAUUCGUUACUCAAAUAUUGUAUUAUAUUAAUUGUUAAAUAAACAAUUAUUCUUUUUUGCCUCCGUGGAUGUAGGUUUAAUUACCGAACCACGUAAAUUCUUGUGUCAUUUAUUUUUUCAGUAAUUUUUUGGUGCGCUUGAUUCCGCAUUCCGCGCACAACAAGUGGUAUCAGAGCCGACGGUUCGUACUUGGGGGGAUACGGUACUGUUCACGUAUACGGAACUAUUCCCGUAUACGGUACUGUUCACAUACAGUAUUGUUCACGAAUACGGUGGAGACGGCCAUUUGUACUUGGGAGACAGUCUAUUGUAAGUAGUGUGUAUUUUUGCAUGUCUAGGAAAGUUCUGUCAAUAAAGGCGAUAAGAGUCUAAGGAUUCUGGUUUUUAAUUGGGACCGAGUUCCCGUCCAGUUUCCUGAGAACUUUCCUGGUGCAUUUAUUCACGCGAAAUUAACAUCAUAGAGGCUGUUUUUCAAGUGGAAAUAGUUCGUUGAAAAAAUGGUAGAAGGUGAAACUUCCAGAAUUGGGGAGAGAUCUACCGAGACUAUUUCAGGAGACACUUUAGGUGGGAGGCGAGAUUUGUCAAAUCGCUAUUCAGCACCUGUUAUAGGAGGCCAGAAGAUCGAUGUUGAAAAGUUUGAUGGGAAAAUCAACUUCGGCAUGUGGAGGCGCGAAGUUAUGGAUGCCCUUAUUCAAAUCGAUCUCGAUGUUGUCCUGAAAAAUAAAAGACACUUGUAUGAUGAAGAAAUUUGGGAUCGUAUGAACGAGAAAGCCCUUGGUCAGAUCAGAUCUUGUUUGACCAAGGAGGUGAAAUACUUGGUGAAAGAUGAGGAGUGUGCAGUGACUUUGUGGCGUACAUUGGAAGAGAAGUACCUGGUGAAAAGUCCUGAAAAUCGUCUUCAUGCAAUGAGCCAAGUAUAUGGCUUUCGAAUGAAGUCUGGGGUGUCAAUGCACGAUCAUGUUUCAAGAUUUGAAAAGUUACUUGCUGAUUUGAAGAAUCUUGAUGAAGAUAUUAAAGAUGAAGUCAAGGCUAUGAUUCUGUUACACUCACUACUAGAGGAAUAUAGCCAUUUUGUGACUACUUUGAUAUAUGGGAAGAGUGUGAUCGUCUUUAAAGAUGUUUGCACAGCAUUGACUAGUUUGGAGAUUCGGAAUAAUGAUAAAAAUUCUGAACGAGCAUCGUCUGAAGCUUUGGUGAGCAGAGAUUGGGCGAUGGAGAAACAGAAGAAGCGUGGUGGAAAGAAUUCUCGAUCCAAAUCGAGAAGCAGAAAUAUAGCUCGAGAUGAGUGUGCCUUUUGUCAUGAAAAGGGCCAUUGGAGAAAAGAUUGUCCAAAGGCUCAAAAGAGAGAUGGGAAGAAACCAGCAGCAGCAAACAUGGCACGGAAAGAUGAGAACUCUGAUUAUUCACUAAGUAUUACUCCUGCAGCAUAUGUGGCUAGUUCGAGUGAGUGGAUACUUGAUAUUGGAGCAACCUAUCAUUUGUGUCCUAUUAAGGAAUGGUUUACGGAUUUUCGUAAUCUGGAAUCCGGUGCAGUUAUGAUGGGGAAUAAUCAACCUUGUCGCACAAUGGGGAUAGGAACAAUUCGGCUCAAAAUGUUUGAUGGAAUGGUCAGAGAACUCAAAGAGGUUAGAUUUGUUCCAGAGAUAAAGAAAAAUCUAAUUUCUGUGGGUGCUUUGGAAGCUAAAGGUCACAAAGUUACCAUUGAAGAUAGCACAAUGAAGUUUACACAUGGGGCUAUGGUGAUUCUGCAAGGGGUUCGGCGUCACAAUCUGUACUAUUUGAAGGGAGGUACAACUGAUGAAGCAAAUGUUGUUGAGGCGCACAGUGACACCACCAAGCUAUGGCAUGUACGACUGGGACAUGCAGGAGAGAAGUCUUUGCAAACUCUGAUGAGGCAUGGACUCUUAAAAGGUACCAAAACCUGUAAAUUAAAUUUCUGUGAGCAUUGUGUAGUAGGCAAGAAAACAAGGGUCAAGUUUGGUACAGCUAAUCACGAUACUCGUGAGAUCCUUGAAUAUGUUCAUAGUGAUGUAUGGGGACCAACCAAGACUGCAUCAAUUGGUGGAAGCCAUUAUUUUGUUAUAUUUGUUGAUGAUUUCUCUAGACGUGUAUGGGUGUACACCAUGCGAGCAAAGGAUGAGGUUCUAGAGAUUUUCGUGAAGUGGAAGAAAUUGGUGGAGACUCAAACUGGCAGAAAGAUUAAAGUAUUACGAUCUGAUAAUGGGGGUGAAUAUACUUCUGAUCCAUUCUUGCAAAUAUGCCAGAACGAGGGUAUUAAAAGACAUUUCACGGUGAGACAUACUCCGCAACAGAACAGUGUGGCUGAGCGUAUGAAUCGUACUUUACUGGAGAAGGUACGAUGUAUGUUAUCUAAUGCUGGUUUAGAUAAAAAGUUUUGGGCUGAAACUGUGAGCUACGCAAGUCACUUGGUAAAUCGGUUGCCUUCUGCUGCAAUUGGAGGUAAAACUCCUAUGGAAAUGUGGUCUGGAAAGCAUGCACAAGACUAUGAUUCCCUUCGUGUAUUCGGGUGUCCAGCUUAUUAUCAUGUCAAAGAUGGUAAACUGGAUCCUCAUGCUAGAAAAUCUAUCUUUGUGGGAUUCAAAGGUGGAGUAAAGGGCUUCAAGCUUUGGGAUCUCGAAGAAAAAAAGUUUGUGUGUAGCAGAGAUGUCACAUUUGAUGAAGCUUCAAUGAUAAAAGCUUCAAGUUCUCAGCAGGUGGAGAACAAGACCACAGAGGUAUUGCAGCGGGUGGAGUUUGAUGCAACUCCAUAUGUACCAGUUAGUUCUACAUCAAAGAAUGGUUCAACUAUGGAGGUGACACCUAAAGUUGAAGAAGAGAUUGUUUCUUCUGAUGUCCCACAAAAUGAAGAAACAAUUGAUGAUGUAGAUGAUGAUGAUUUUAUAACAACAAGGAGGCCAAGAAGAGAGAUAAAGAAACCCAGAUGGCUUACUAAAGAUAUGGUGGUAGCCUAUGCACUUCCAGUUAUUGAUGAUGACAUCCCCAAUACUUUCGGUGAAGCAUUACGCAGCAAUGAAAGUGAUAAGUGGAAGCUAGCCAUGGAGGAAGAGAUGAAAUCUCUCCAUCAAAACCAGACUUGGGAACUUGUAAAGUUACCAAAGGGGAAAAGGGCUAUUGGCAAUAAAUGGGUCUACACCAAAAAGCAAGGAUCUCCGAAUCAAACAACUCCUCGAUACAAGGCAAAGCUCGUGGCAAAAGGUUUUGCUCAAAAGGAAGGUAUUGACUACAAUGAAGUUUUCUCUCCAGUUGUAAAACAUACUUCCAUUCGUAUCUUACUUGCCUUAGUUGCAGAAUAUGAGUUAGAGUUGGCUCAGUUGGAUGUUAAGACGGCGUUCUUACAUGGAGAUUUGAAGGAGGAAAUAUAUAUGAUUCAGCCUUGUGGUUUCAGAGUUGCUGAAAAGGAGAAUCAUGUGUGUAGGUUGAUUAAAUCUUUGUACGGAUUGAAGCAAUCGCCAAGGCAGUGGUACAAAAGAUUUGAUCAAUUUAUACAAGGGCAGAAAUUCACCAGAAGUGAACACGAUCAUUGUGUUUACUUUAGAAGACUACCAGAUGGAGCUUUCAUCUAUUUGUUACUCUAUGUCGACGAUAUGCUUAUAGCUUCGAAGAAUAGAGAUGAGAUGAAAGACUUGGGUGAUGCACAAAGAAUACUUGGGAUGGAGAUUCAUAGAGACAAGAAGAAUGGGAGCGUAUGGUUGACUCAAAAGUCUUAUUUGAAGAAAGUGCUAGAAAGGUUCGGUAUGGAUGACAAAACUAAACCGGUAUGUACACCCCUAGCUCCUCAUUUCAAAUUAAGCUCUUCUUCAUGUCCUAGAUCUCAAGAGGAGCGCGAUUACAUGGCUCGUGUUCCAUAUGCUAGUGUUGUGGGUAGUCUUAUGUAUGCUAUGGUAUGCACAAGGCCCGAUAUAUCUCAAGCAGUGAGCAUGGUUAGUAGAUACAUGCACAAUCCGGGUAAAAAUUAAUGGCUUGAGGUAAAGUGGAUUCUCCGAUAUCUGUAUGGGACAGUUGAUGUUGGGUUAUUGUUCAAGAAUGAUUGUGGUCAACAAUGUGUUGGGUAUUGUGAUUCUGAUUUCGCUGGAGACCUUGACAAGCGAAGAUCAACAACGGGCUACGUAUUCACAUUGGGUGGAGGUCCGGUUAGCUGGAGGUCGAUUCUACAAUCGACAAUUGCUCUGUCCACUACGGAAGCAGAGUAUAUGGCAGCAACUGAAGCUGUAAAAGAAGCUAUCUGGUUGAAAGGCUUGUUAGGUGAUUUGGGAGUAAUCUAGGAGAACAUUGCGGUCUUCUGUGAUAAUCAAAGUGCGAUAUUCCUUGCGAAGAAUCAAACAUAUCACGCUCGGACGAAGCACAUAGAUGUGAAAUAUCAUUAUGUGAGAGAGAUUAUCGAGAGCGGUGUUGUGUUGUUGAGAAAGAUCGAUACCAAAGAUAAUCCAUCAGAUAUGUUGACGAAGGUAGUUUCUGGAGUUAAGUUUCAACAUUGCUUGAAAUUAAUUCAAAUCCUUCAAUUGUGUUAAGAUAUGUCCUUCGGGAAUUUUGAACUACGGUUGGCUUGAUCCCAAAUUUUGGGUACGUAGGCAGUCAUAGAGAUGCAGCCACUUUGGGGAUGAUGGUUCAUUGGUAGUCGGCUCAGAUUUGAACAAAUCUUCGCCGAGGUGGAGAAUUAUUGAAAAGUCAAAGAAGAGCUUGCCAAUUUCAAGGUUGGUAGCACGAUUCAACAAAUUGUUGGUUACACCAACAAUUGUAGAGAUUUUUCAAGCCGAAAAGAAAGAAUGGACAAAGGGGAUGGAUUUGGAAAAUAAUAAUAAUUAAAAAUUAUAUUUUUAAUUAUUUUAUUCUUUGCAUAGUAAUUCAUUUCUCCUAUAAAUAGCUAAGGAUUUCAUUCAUUUGAAAUCAUCCCAAAAUUGUUAAGCUUAUAAGCUUCUAAGCUUUUGAGAGAAGUAAGAGAAGUGAGAGAAGUGUGUCUGGGGAAUUUAUCUUUCCUGCAGAGUGUGAGAGUACUGGGUAUAUUUGGGUUUAUGGGGAGUGAGAUUCGUUACUCAAAUAUUUUAUUAUAUUAAUUGUUAAAUAAACAAUUAUUCUUUUUUGCCUCCGUGGAUGUAGGUUUAAUUACCGAACCACGUAAAUUCUUGUGUCCUUUAUUUUUUCAGUAAUUUUUUGGUGCUCUUGAUUCCGCAUUCCGCGCACAACAAAUGAAACAUUAAUUCUCAUUGGAUAAUCAACAUAUACUUGUUUUAGAGUCCUCAGGUGGACGACUUUUGAGGUUUUGUGUCCUUUUUUGUUAUAUUGCUGGUUCUUGAGGUAAAUAAAUCCAGGAUUCCUGAAACUGAACAUUCCUGUCUGAAACUUUCAAUAUCCAAAUUCAGUCAUGCAAUACAACUACACUAUUUUAAAUCAAUUAUAUGGUUUCAGUUUCAGAUUUUGUAUUUCCAGCAUAAAUAAUCAUGCAAGCUUUUGAUGCCCAAAAGACCAUUGUUCGAUUUUUUCUUACCCCUUCUACCCCCUCCCCCCGCAUUUUCAAAUCAUCCAUAACUUUUCUGCAAUGUUCAGCCUGUGGAAAGGUAAUUUUAUCAGUGCAAGUGCUAGCAUUGUUCAUUUCUUCAGAUAGCCAUUUGCUGCGUCUAAAAAUUCAUGCUGUGUUCACUGAUGAAGGCAACUAGGAGUCAACGUCUAUUUAGAUCAGGAAAAUGACUUGUGUGGUGUGAAUUUACACAUGAAAUUCAAUUGGCAUAUUUGUCACUUGUCAGGCUCAAUGGACCCCUUUCAAAUUUCACUUUAGAAUAUUUAUUUAUUUUUUAUCUAAAGAUAAGGAUUUAAUUACACAAAAUUCAGCCUCACGAAAGUCAUACAAAAUGCGAUCAGUGAAAUACAUUCAGGAUUAACAAUCGCAUUGAUCAACCAAAUACAUCCCUUGGUUUAUAAGUUCUGAUAUGGAAAUUUCUUGAACAACAGAUUUUCCCAGCGGUGAUUUCCUUGCGAGAAAUUCUUGAGAUAUGCGUUGCAUUGUAGGUCGAGCCUUGGGUUUUGACUGCAAGAAUGCAAAUGCGACUGUUGAAACAAGAAUAAUAUCAUGAACAACCCUUCGAUCAACUGAAAAUGGGAGACGUUGGUCUAAAACAUCGAUCAACCUAAUCUUCCGACCAGAUGAUGACGAUAAAGAUGAAAGAAGAUCUGUUGGAUGACUUCCCAUUUUAUCUGUUGGAAAAGGCUGCCAAGAGUCGUGUCGCAUUUAAUUGCGGAUGAGGUGAUGUGGCAGAGAUCCACCCCUUCAUUUUGAAUUUAAAACCGACGGUUACGAGACCCUCGGGAUUCGGUGCUGUUAAAUGCUGGCUAUCCAAGGGUUUUUCUUCCAAUAAGGUAACCCAAAACCUCUCGAAGGGAAAUUAGCCAUUUCCACCGUCUCUGUCCCUGUCUCUCCGGCGAAGAAGUUUCGGCAUAAAAGCCCCCAUCCUUGCCUUUCUCCGACUGAAACAAUACUUCAGGUAUUACUUCUUUCUCCUCGGUCUCGGAUAGUUUGUAGAUAACUUCUUUUUUCUUUGUUUUGCUUGGGGUAGUAGUUGGUGGUGGUGUUUUGGUUAUUACCUAGGGAAUGUCGAAGGGUAAGGAGAAAGUCGUUGAGAUUGAUGACGACGAACUAGGUUUCUUGCCUGGUCUGCUCACUGAUCCUGCUUUUGACCCCGAGAUCCCCUUAGAACCCAUUAGGUUUAGUGUCAGGACUAGUGCUAGGAGGAUGUCCCCCCAAACAACCUCCACGAGCGGAAGCAAUGGUGAGGAGGGACCUUCUGGCUCUGAGGACACCUUAAGUGAGAAUGGGGAAGGUGACUUUGGUGAGGUGUCUCCAUCUGGAACAUCACGACCAGAAGAACGGGGUACAGUAGGAGGCAGAGCCUUGUCGCGUGAUUAUGCCAUUGAUUACAUGACGUGCACGACCUCGUUUGACGAGCUCAAUGACCUCCGGCUUAGGUAUAGCAUUCCUGGUGAGAUACCUCUCAAGGUCCCAGGAAAGAAGGAUGCUCUCAGCCGGCCUCCUAGGGGAUACGUUACCCUGUUUCUAGAGAGCUUUAAGUACGGGCUGAGGUGUCCCUUGCAACCCUACUUUGCCCGGAUACUUAACGGGCUAAAUUUAGCUCCUGGUCAGCUGAAUCCCAAUGGGUGGAGAGUGCUCUCUGGUCUGUUCAUAUUGUGGGACAGAUAUUGCCAAAGCGAGCCCACGGUUGAUGAGGUGAAGCACCUGUACCAGCUAAAGAGCAGCCCCAAAGAUGCCGGCUGGUACUACUUCCAAUCUAGCACCAAAAGCCGGAAACCCAUAACUGAUCUUCCAACUGGUGGUGGUAGGACUUGGAAGAGGAAAUUCUUUUUUGCUGGGGGUCCUUGGGGUCAAGUUGCACAAAUAGACGGGAAGGAUUGUCGCAUCCCACCCCGUUUCACGAUCCCAGGUUGCCUGCUCGCUUUAGAUGUCUUGUAUGCAUAAUUGUUCUUGCUUUAUUGGCUUGUCUCUAACUAAGUGUCUGUUUGUGUUGUAGUUUCUUGGGGUGUUCACUUCCCGCUCCAACCUGACCAGCUCAAACGGGUCGAGGCUGUACUAGCCAAUUCCUGCUCGAGCCGAGAACUGCUAACUACUUACAACUUGCUCGAGUCUCGCUUGGUACUUCUUGGCCAUAAGAUGGAGGACGCCGUGAUUGGGGCUCUGAACAGGAAACGUUCUCGACCUCAAACCACGAAGAGGGACCAGAACAAGGAUGCCCCUACUGCAAAGCGGGCCAACAUCGUGCAGCAGGUCUCUCCCUUGAAGACUUUACCUCCUCCUUCUGCCAAACUCGGCGAGACCAGUGGAGCAGCUGUUAACAUAUAUGUUUCCAUAAUAUUGAUUUUGAUGAUAACAAACAAGAUUAAGAAUGAUUAAUCUUUUAAGCUCAAAUUAUUUAAUAUUCUUUUUAAAUAAAUCAUUAUUUUCACAUUAUAAAUGUUUUAUAUUUAAUGGAAAAAUGAUUUUAUGAAAUUGAUUGUUUUGAUUCUUUUUAAAUAAAUCAUUAUUUUCACAUUAUAAAUGUUUCAUAUUUAAUGGAAAAAUGAUUUUUUGAAAUUGGUUGUUUUUCAAAGUUUAUGGUUUAAUUGAAACAUUUUGAAAACUUUGAAAUAAACAAGUAUUGCUUGAAAUUUUGGUGAAGGACUUAUUUGAAAAGUGUCAUAGCAUUUUGGGCUAUAACAUAAUUUCAAAAAGUUUUGGGAUUAACAAAGCAUUACUUAGAAAUUCUGAAAUUGGACCUAUUUGUAAAGUUUCAUAACGUUUUGGGUUAUAGUACAGUUUUGUAAAGUUUUGGGAUCAAACUGUAAUUUCAGAAAAUAGUGCACUGUGCAGAUUAUUGUAGCAAUCACUGUAGCAAACGGCUAACUGUUUAUUUAAAAACGGCUAACCGUUUAUUUAAAAAAGGCUAACCGAUAAUUUCCAAAAAGCAUGUUCUGCAAAGUAUUGUUAAAAUGAUGAUUCUGGAAACUAACGGUGAACCGUUUACUGAAAACGGUUAACCGAUUAUUUCUAGAUUGCUAACUUUGAACCGUUUAGUAAGAACGGUUAAACCAAAUUUGUUUUACAGGUCUGUGGAAAUUAACGGCGAAAGGGUAAGCCUAAACGGCUAACCGUUUAUUUGAAAAUUGGCCCAAACGGUAACUUUGACCGGCCUAAACGGUUAACCGUUAAUGGUUAACGGCGAACCGUUUUCGGGCAGACAGUCUAUAACGGCUAGUUUUUCAGCUCCAACUAUAAAUAAGCUCAAUCCAAUUCAAACAAGAGGAUUUCCAACGAUCAUCAUUGAGCAAAAUAUUGAGAAUACAACUUUCAUUGAGCUUUAAAUCCUUGUAUUCAUCUCAUUCAUUCACACAUUGAGCUUUCAUUUGUGAUCAAACACAUUGUGUGAGAGAGAUUCAUUUGUAAUCCUUUUUAUAAAAUCAAGUUAAAAGAUUGUAAGUGUUGGGAUACACUUGGGUUAAGAGAUUGGGGAUAAUCUCUUGUUGUAAAGGUCCAUUGACACCUUGGAAGUCAAUUGUAAGCGUUUGAAGCCUUGGGAGGCUAGCUUAGUGAAAUCCUCAAGCCCGGUGAGCUUGGAGGCGUGGACGUAGGCGGGGAUUGCCGAACCACGUAAAAAUCAUUGUGUUUGUUUUCUCUUCCCUUACUCUUUUAAUAUUGUGCAUGAUUGAAUUUAUUGUUUUUAAUUUGAUUAAGGCAAUAGAUUAAAUUGUUGUGUGGUUUGCCUAGGAUAAUUUUUAAAAUCUCAAUUCACCCCCCCUCUUGGGUUGCCUAGUUAGUAUUUCAGCAGCCACUGAUCCUGCUUCCUCUUCGCCUCCUGUCGGGCAUAGAUCUCGUUUACCUGACAGCCGAGCAGAACACUUGGACCCCUAUCUCAACAAGCUUUCCAAACUCGUGAGCAAGAAGGACCUCGAGGACUUUGAUGGCUGCACCUUAGGCGAGCUGGUGGGGGCCAUGCAGUAUAGCGCUUUCCAUCUCAGCUGCAUGACCACCUACUAUAAGGCCAAGGUUGGCCGUUAUGACAGGAAGAUGAAGGAGGACAUUCAGUCGGCGACGACCAGAGCUGACGUUGCUGAGAAGAAAGUAGGGGACUUAAACCUCGAGAAUCUGAAGUUGAUUGAGCGAGAAUCUCUUGCUCAAGCCAAGGCUAUUACUCUCGAGGAAGAGCUGGCCAAGGUCAAGGAAGAUCUGCAAAGGCAGAAAGCUAUGUACGAGGCUCAGCUCGAAUCUCUCCGUGAUUCCCACCGGGUUCAGGUCGAGAACUUAGAGAAUGGGGCUGACAACCAGUACAACCAGGGACUUCGGCAUUCCUAUCGUUGCAUCAUGGCAGUCCUUGGGAAGCAACACCCUGAUCUGAAGAUGGAUGACCUUGCAACUGGUGUUGCUCAAUAUAUGGACGAGGAGGCGGCCAAGGAAGACGCUAAAGGGGUAGAGCCGAUCGUGAUUGAGGAGGAAAACUCUCCUCCUCGUGCAGUACCUGCUGGUGUUGGCGAGGCGAGCACCCCCUCGGACGCAACUAGUGAUACCCCCCUGCACCUGAGGAGGUCCAGCCAACCGAUGCUGCUCGGUUUACUGAUCCACCAUCUUCUUGAUAUAUUUCUUGUAUUGUAAUGAACAAUGUUUGUGAAGAUUAUCUCCUCUGUUAAUUAUUAACAAAUUAAUAAAAAUGUUUUUGAUUACUUUCUUGUGUUGUAAUCAUGAGUUAUUUUUCGUUUGAGAAUCUGCUCGUCUUUGUCUGGUCGAGCCGGUUCUGGCUUGGCACAUGGUUUUGCCACAUGCCUUUGAAAACUCUUCAAUGCUUGGGAUUCUGCUCGCCUUCGCGUGGUCGAGCAGAUCCUGGCAUGCUUGGCUUCUGGUCUCGCCAUAAAACAAGCUUUGAGACUUGGUGAGCCUUUGCAUGCCUUAGGAAUUUUUUCGAAUGCUUUGGAGUCUACUCGCCUUCUCGUGGUCGAGCAGAUCCUGGCACGCUUGGCUUUUGUCUCGCCAUAAAACAGGCUUUGAGACUUGGUGAGCCUUUGCAUGCCUUAGGAAUUUUUUCGAAUGCUUUGGAGUCUGCUCGCCUUCUCGUGGUCGAGCAGAUCCUGGCACGCUUGGCUUUUGUCUCGCCAUAAAACAGGCUUUGAGACUUGGUGAGCCUUUGCAUGCCUUAGGAAUUUUUUCGAAUGCUUUGGAGUCUGCUCGCCUUCUCGUGGUCGAGCAGAUCCUGGCACGCUUGGCUUCUGUCUCGCCAUAAAACAGGCUUUGAGACUUGGUGAGCCUUUGCAUGCCUUAGGAAAUUUUCACAGUUUCAAGCGAAUGAAAUUCCUCGACGUUUCAUUAAUGGCAGGAUUCAACUUACAUGAAAUUAUUUGGACAUAAAACAUAAAAGAUAAACGAUAAUGAACACGAGCAGAAAUAGCUUUCAAAUGUGAACAAUUCUUACUGGAAGUAUUUUCGGAGGUGUCCAAGCAAACACAUCUGCAUGAGCCUGUAAGCAUUUCACCAACUCCUGCUUUUGCUCUCCCUUAAGUCUCGACCCGAUUCUGAUUGUCUUUCCCGGAUUCUCUGGUCCCAGGCUUACUGUUUCCAGAUCCUCUACAGGUUCUUGUCUGCCAUUCUUGUUUUCCACUCGGGUAUCGAGGGAUGUUAUCUGCAUUGCUUCCCUUGCUGCCGAGGAGUAGCAGCUUCUUGCGAUCCUCUGGUCUCCUCGUACCACUCCAACUACCCCAUUCACCCGGUACUUCAGAGCCAGAUAAUGGUUGGACAGUACCGCUUUGCUCAUCUUCAGAAAUGACCUACCUAGGAUCAUCUGGUAAGGACCUUCCUCAUCCACUACCACAAAGUCCAGUAUCAUUGUCCUUUCUGUCGGGGAGCCCCCAAUCGUGAUAGGCAGCUCGACCACGCCCAGAGGGACCAGCUUUCCUCCUCCAAACCCCUUCAAGGAGGUAUUGGUGUAAUCCAACUUCAGGUCUGCUAUUCCCAUCUCGUCCAGGGUUGACUUAAACAACACAUCAAUUGAACUCCCUGUGUCAACCAGUAUCCUGUCAAACUUCUUGCUAGCAACAGUGGCCUUGAUGACCAAAGCAUCCUCGUGGGGGUAUAGAAUCCCUUCCUCAUCCUCAGCUGUCCACAUGAUUGGCACUUGCCUGACUCUUGCACGUUUGGCUGCUGGGGUGUUGAAGAAUACCUCUUUGCUGGUCAUGGCGUAUCUAGCAUAAUUCUUCCUCGACCUGUUGGAAUCUCCAGCCAAUGUUGGGCCCCCAGCUAUCACCCUUAUUGUAGGCUGCUCGCGCCUCAAGUUCCUGUCACUCUGCUCCCCUUCACUUGUCGAGGCUACCAUUGGGAAGGUCCCAUCUAUAAACUCGUCCAGAUACCGAUUUCUCACCAAAUCCUCAACCUGGGUCUUGAGAUCCCUGCAAUCUGCUGUGGUGUGGCCAUGAGUGCCAUGGAACUUACAAUAGCGCCCCAUAUCCCUCCUGCUGGGCAGCUUUGUUAUUGGGGCAGGGAGGUACAGCAACCCUCGAUCCUUUAUGGCCUCGUACACCUCAUCCAGGGACAUCUUCAAGGAGGUAUACCGCCCAUAGUCCUGGUUCUGGUCGAUCAGGUGCACUGCUCUUUCUCUGUUUGCUCCGUUCUGAGUUGGGGUCGGUGGCAGUACUUCUGGUCUGCUCCCUCUGCUACCGUGGGAAUGUUGAUGAAGGCCACCAUAUGCCGAAUCAUGCCUUCUCCAAGGCUCCCUAGCUAGGGAACGAGGAGGUUGCGCCCUGCUGCGCUAAUACUGUAGUGGCCUCUGAUGAGGCUGGUAAGCAGUUACCCGACCUCCUGCUCCACUACCCGAGGCCUGGUGGUCCCUCCUCCUGAUCGGGCCAUUCCCCGGUAAUGCUUUCUUCUCUUUCCUCCCCAACCCUUCUAACUGGUCUGUCUUAAUCCGUGUUGCCUUCUCCUCUUCAAUCUCAAUGUCUCUCUUAGCCUGCUCGUAUGCGGCCGUGUACGUCUGAAUAACUGGGCUUCUCAAGUUGUACCACAGCCGUCCUAUCUUCACCCCUUCUUUCAAUCCCCUUAACGCCUGAGGGUGGUUGAAGGCUCCCAAGUCGAGGACAGCACGAUGAAACCUCUUGAUGAAUUCUCGAAGGGUUUCUUGCUCCCCCUGUUUCAUGCUUUUCAGCUCCAUCAUGUCAUCUUCUGGUGCCAUUGCCCCACUAAACUGCUCUGCAAAUUCCUGGCACAUCUGCUCGAAGGUUUUAAUGCUGCCCCGAGGAAGUUUCCUGUACCACUCUCGUGCACGUCCCUCAAGGGAUAGUGAGAACACCCUGCACCUUUGGGAUUGAGAUAAUCCUUGUACCCCAGUUAUGUCGUUGAAGCGCUCUAUGUGCACCAGCAGAUCAGUUCUUCCCGAGUAUCUAAGGUCUGGGAGGCGGAAAUCUCUUGGAAUAAUUGCCCUCAUGAUCUCUGCUGCGAGCGGUGAUUCUCCGUCCAGCAUUAUCCUUCAACCAGGAGCUCUGCUCCUUCCUUGCAUGUCGUCAAUUAUCUGCGCUAGUCUGCGCACUUCCUCCUCCAGCUGCACUGCACGAGCAGGGUCACUUGCUGCAACUUGAUCCCUCUCUUGCUCCACAUCAUGCAAGUGUUGCCUCAACUCUGUUUCCUCUGCAUUCGCCACCCCGUCGUCCUCAUCAAAAAUCUGUCUUGCUGGGGACUGCUCUUCCUCUCUAUGAAAGUCUCCCCGCAGAGGUAUGUUACCUCUGUCACCACCAAAUCUCCCGGUGGUUUGACUUCUCCUCGCACUAUCGGGACCUGGUGCCACUCCGCCACCUCUCACCCUUUCCUCCUGGGUUACCCUUCGGUCGCUCCUCAGCUCAUGCAGGAUGGUUGUCAAGGUCUCCAUCUGCUUUUCCAUCCGUUCCAUCCGGUCGAACAUGGCUUUUUCCCGUGCUUCACUGGCUAUCUCCCUCAGCGUCACGGAAUCGUUAAGCCUCAUAUCACCCUCUUGUGCACUACUUCCUCCUGUCUCCAUUGCUUUUCAGUUGCUUCACUCCUCUUCUUGCUAUCAAUAGAAGCUUUUUUAUCAGCUCCCCACAGACGGCGCCAAAAUGUUGAUGCGAGAUUUUGGUUACGCUCUUUCUACUACCAGGAUAUCUGCUCGAUCAACCUCACCUCGACCAGGAUCUCUCCUAGUAUGCUUUCGUCUCCAAGUAUUCCUGCGUCCACAGAAACAAGUCAGAGCACGCCGGUUGUUUUCCCGGCGUAAACCCUCCGACGCUCAAGUCAGAUAUGAAGGUUCGGGGUACGCUUGCCACAGAUCUUAUGGCUUUUGGGUAGUUUUCUCUUCUUUAGAAUUUCUUUAAUCUAUGUCCUAAUUUCAAAAUUGCUAACCAUUUUACCUUCGUUGGCAACCUUUUUAUAGGCUUCCUCUGAAUCCCAGUUUUUCGCGGUCUACGCCCGUUAUCCUCCCACCUCUCGAACGUGGAUUCCCCAUUUCCGUAGUCGUGGGUGGUUGUGUGGCCUUCGUGCCUAGAUUCUCGGGCUGGAGAGCAUGCCUCGCCAACUGUCGUUGACCGGGUCUCCUCGAAUCAACCCUUAGCAAGAAUACAGCAGGAAUGGCUUUAUGCUUCUUACAGAAAAUUGGCCUCGCGGAUGACGUGCUCGUGGAUGAGCAGGAUAUUCCUGCCCCUGUUCCCCUGCUACCUGGCUCUUACAGGACACACCUGCUUGCAGACUUCUGCCACCAAACAUCUGCUCAUCACGUCUGGUCUCGUCGGAGUAUUUCCCUCAAACAAUUCUCAUUGGAUAAUCAACAUAUACUUGUUUUAGAGUCCUCAGGUGGGCGACUUUUGAGGUAAAUAAAUCCAGGAUUCCUGAAACUGAACAUUCGUGUCUGAAACUUUCAAUAUCCAAAUUCAGUCAUGCAAUACAACUACACUAUUUUAAAUCAAUUAUAUGGUUUCAGUUUCAGAUUUUGUAUUUCCAGCAUAAAUAAUCAUGCAAGCUUUUGAUUCCCAAAAGACCAUUGUUCGAUUUUUUCUUACCCCUUCUACCCCCUCCCCCCGCAUUUUCAAAUCAUCCAUAACUUUUCUGCAAUGUUCAGCCUGUGGAAAGGUAAUUUUAUCAGGGCAAGUGCUUGCAUUGUUCAUUUCUUCAGAUAGCCAUUUGCUGCGUCUAAAAAUUCAUGCUGUAUUCACUGAUGAAGGCAACUAGGAGUCAACGUCUAUUUAGAUCAGGAAAAUGACUUGUGUGGUGUGAAUUUACACAUGAAAUUCAAUUGGCAUAUUUGUCACUUGUCAGGCUCAAUGGAUCCCUUUCAAAUUUCACUUUAGAAUAUUUAUUUAUUUUUUAUCUAAAGAUAAGGAUUUAAUUACACAAAAUUCAGCCUCACGAAAGUCAUACAAAAUGCGAUCAGUGAAAUACAUUCAGGAUUAACAAUCGCAUUGAUCAAUCAAAUACAUCCCUUGGUUUAUAAGUUCUGAUAUGGAAAUUUCUUGAACAACAGAUUUUCCCAGCGGUGAUUUCCUUGCGAGAAAUUCUUGAGAUAUGCGUUGCAUUGUAGGUCGAGCCUUGGGUUUUGACUGCAAGCAUGCAAAUGCGACUGUUGAAACAAGAAUAAUAUCAUGAACAACCCUUCGAUCAACUGGAAAUGGGAGACGUUGGUCUAAAACAUCGAUCAACCUAAUCUUCCGACCAGAUGAUGACGAUAAAGAUGAAAGAAGAUCUGUUGGAUGACUUCCCAUUAAUACUUCUAGUGCCACUACGCCAAAGCUAUAAACAUCACAUUUCUCUGUCACAGCCAUGGUGUAGGCAAGUUCUGCAACAAAAUAGAACCCAUUGUAGAAUUUCAUUGCACAAGUAAACAACACAAAAAAAAAAAAAAAAAAAGAAUAAGCAUUUGAUUAUCUGUUUCUGAAAGCUUCUGCAGCUAGAUAUUUAAGAGAUAUCUGAUUGAUUUUUAAAUACAUUCAAUGUAUAAACACGAGUAAGAAGCAUGAAAAGAAUAGAUAAAGGUUACCUGGAGCAAUAUAUCCAUAUGUUCCCACCACUAGAGUUCUGUUGGAGGAAUCUGGAUGUAGGAGCCUAGCCAAACCAAAAUCAGCAACAAAUGCCUCUAGGUUUGAAUUAAGUAGAAUGUUAUUGCUGGAUAUGUCGCGGUGAACAAUUGAUGGCUUGCAGUCAUAAUGCAGGUAAGACAAAGCAUGAGCCAUGCUCUUUACAAUGUUCACUCUCUUUGUCCAAUCCAACUCAACUGCUUCAACAUCAUUGCGUAACACACAAAACAAGCUUCCCCUCUCCAUGUACUCAUAGAUCAAAAACAUGCACUUGUUGUGCAAACAGAAACCAUAAAGCUUCACUAUAUUACGAUGCCGUAUUUGGGACAGUAGACGAGCUUCGGUUUGGAAACUUUCCAGGAAAGCUGGCUCCUCUGUCUCUGAACGGUGAAGUUUCUUCAAAGCAACUAGUUUUCCACUAGAC